AUCUCCUCCUCCUCAAACCACCGCUCCACCGCACAUUACAUUCUUUUUCUCAGUCUCUCGGUGGUGCUCCAAUUUUCCAACUCCGCCUUGACAAUCGUGUUGCAUUUGUCGUCUCAACCCUCUCCCUCGCUGAAGAAUGUUUUACCAAAAACGACAUCGUUUUAGCCGAUCGACCAAAAUUCACUUUUGGGAGACUCGUUGAGUACAAUUACACCACUAUGGCCACUACAUCUUAUGGUGACCAUUGGAGGAAUUUGCGCCGUAUUGGUGCCAUCGAGAUCUUCUCGUCUCAUAGACUCGAUAGCUUUUUAUCCGUCCGUAAGGAUGAGAUCCGACACUUGAUAUCAUGUCUCUCCAAAAAUUCCUUACAUGUAAGUGAAAUACAUAUCUACACAACCAAAAUAAUGCAUAUAGCCACAAAUUAAUUACGGAUUUUAUGUGACUAUUUUUUAAAAUCAGGGGAAAGUCAAGAAAAAGCCAUUUUAGUAAAUAUUACAUCAAUAAUAAAUUUGAACCUAAUUUGAUGUACGUAUAUAUUUGUCAUUUCAAGAUUUAUAGUUGUCUGCUCAAAACCGUUUUGCAAUUUAGUACAUAUAGAUUAGAUUCAAAUUUAUUAUUGAUGUGAUAUUAAUAAUACGCUUCUUCGAAAUUAUUGUGUUUUUAUUAUUAUCUCAAACCGAAACUCAUUUUAUGAUUUGACAACUGAUUUCUAACACAGUUUCAAGAUUCAUGGAUUUCCAAUAGAAAAAACUGUCGAUUAGACUUGUCUACGCUAUUUAUAUAUUAGAGUAUAUAUUUUUUAAUCAAUAUGUGAGUAUAUCUUAUAUUUAUUGAUGCGGUAAUGUUAACAGAUUUCUAUGCCUAACCAUAUGUUCAUGUCAUAAUAAUUUUAGGGGUUUGCAAAGGUGGAGCUGAGAUCAUUGUUUGGGAACUUUAAUAUCAAUAACAACCUGAGGAUGAUAGCCGGAAAACGAUUCUUCGGAGACGGAGCAGAGCAAGACGACGAUGCAAAACGCGUGAGGCAGUUGCUUGACGAAGCUGUAUCUAGUGCUGGUGUCGGACACGCUUCUGACUAUGUUCCGCUCCUCCGUUGGUUUACUAAUUAUGAGAAAGGGGUCAAGAAGUUGGCGGUUCGGGUCGAUGAGUUUCUUCAAGGACUAGUUGAUGAGAAACGUGCACAAAAAGAAAAGAGUAACACUAUGAUCGAUCACUUGCUUUCUCUCCAAGAAACUCAACCUGAUUACUAUACGGACGUCACCGUCAAAGGACUCAUAGUUGUAAGUAUUGAGGAACCUAAUUAAUACAUAAUUAACAACACUAAUUAAUUAAGGAUUAUAUCAUGGCUAAUUCUUGCCUUUUAUUUGGAUAGGUUAUGAUAUUCGCGGGAAAUGUAACAUUAACAAGGACGUUAGAAUGGGCGAUGCUAUAUCUGUUGAACCAUCCAGAAGUACUAAAGAAAGCGAGGAUCGAAAUCGAUACAAACAUUGGUUUAGACAGGUUAAUAGAUGAACAGGAUGCUAAAAAUCUUCCUUACCUCCAAUGCAUCAUAUCAGAGAUUUUUCGACUUUACCCGGCAGCUCCUUUACUUGCUCCACAUAGGGCAACAGAUGAUUGUAUAGUUGGAGGCUACGACUUCCCUCGUGGCACAACGUUAAUCGCGAACGUAUGGGCCAUUCACCGAGACCCAAACAUAUGGGAAGAGCCAGAAAAGUUCAAGCCAGAGCGGUUCGAGAAAAAAAGGAGAAGAACAAAAGUUGAUGCCAUUUGGGAUGGGACGACGAGCUUGUCCCGGGUCUGGUCUAGCUCAACGGGUCGUGAGUUUAGCUCUCGGAUCGAUGAUUCAAUGUUUUGAAUGGGAGAGAGUUGGAGAAGAAUAUAUUGACCUAAGCGAAGCAACAACAAUGCGUCCAGCGACACGGUUGCUGGCCAUGUGUAGAGCUCGUCCUAUUGUUCAUAAGAUUCUCAAUGCUUCUUUUUGAGAUGUCACUCCCUUUUUAAAACUAUGUAUAUCCAUUUAUGUUAUAUCCAUUUUGAGAUGUAAUUAAAAUGAAAGACAAAGACUAGUUUUUGAUUUGCCUUAAGAUUUUCCAUUUUAUUAAAAUUCAAAAACUAUUUUUUUUUUCAACAACCAAAAUUUAGAAGUUAAAGGCUACUCCAUUAUCAAAUAAACUCACUUCUAAAAUUUUAAAAUUAUGAAUGAGGAGUAGUUUUUUACUUUGAGAAAGUGUGAAGAAAUUUGUCCAAUUUGUCCAAUUUCUUUAGUUUUUGUUUUUUUUUUUGGAAAAAGGGUUAAGAAAAAGGAGCUUAUGGAAUCUCUCAUGCAAUUAUUCCCACCUGUCACUAGAGAUAUGUUCGUAACUUCGUAACGUCUCAUGCAAUUACUGACUAAUAAACAUGUGUGAUAAGUCACCAUUAAUAUUUAUUGUCUAUUUCUUUUGCUUUUAAUUAUUAGGGUUUUAAUUUGAGUAGAGAAAUUUGUUUCUUUCUAAUAUAAUAGACAACUUGGUGUUUAGUCCGCGACUUACGCGGACCGAAAAGUUUUAUUGAAAUCUAAAAUAAAAUUUUAUGUCAUAAAUCAAAAAUAAUUAGAUCAAGAAUUUGAUACAUACAAAAGUAAAAUAAAGCUAACCUAAAAAAGUAAUCAUUGUCUAACAUUAAAACUUUAAAAUCAGUACUAAUAAGUGUAUGAAAUCAAUAAACACAAACUAAAAUAAAAUUAAUAUGAAUUAUUCAUCUUUUUCUCUUUUUAUUUUUUUAAUUUUUUUUCUUUACCAUUUUCUUUUUUUUUCUUUUUUUUGUUUUUUUUGUUUUUUUUCUUCUUCACUUUCUAUGUCUUUUUUUUUACUUUAUAUUCUGCUGAUUUUUCUUUUUCACGUUUUCUUCUUCUUCUCCACAUCUUUUCCUUUUUCCUCUCAUACAUCUUUUGAUUUUCUUCUCUUCCAGGUUUUAUUUCUUUUCUUCUUCUUCUUCAAUGUUUUAUUAUUCUCUUUCUUCUUCUUUUUUCUUUUCCUUUUUCAUUGCCAUCGUCUUCUUCGUUAUCAUCAACUUUCUAUUCUUCUAGUGUUUUUCGGCUUUUAACUCAUCUUCAUAUUCUUCUACUUUCUCCAAUUCCUCAUCUUUUAAGGUUUUCAUCUAAUUUUUUCUCUUCCCUAUCUUCUUCUUCUACUACUUUGUCUUCUAUUUUAUUUUUUUUUCUCCUUCAUCAGACUCUUAUUCCUCUUCUUCCAAUUAUUCUUCCUCUCUCUAAAUUCUUCAUCAUAUUUUAAAGAUCUUUGUCUUAUCUGUCUUUUUACUUCUCUCAUGGUUUAUAUUUUCUCUUUUUUAGUUUUUUCCUUAUAUUUUUAGGUCUUUUUUAUCGUUAUUUGUUUUCAAAUUGUUUUCCAAGUUUUAAAUUUUCGUUAUUUCCUAUUUUAAAUAUUUUUGAUUAAAUUUCGAUUUUUAAUAAUUAUUAUUAAAUUUAAAUGUUUUUUGAUUAAAUUUCGAUUUUUAACAGUUUUUUUAUUAAUUUACGAUUUUUAAUAUUUUUAUUUAAUUACGAUUUUUAAUAUUUUUAUUUAAUUACGAUUUUUAAUUUUUUAAAAAUUAAUUUACAAUUUUAAUAAUUUUGUUAUUAAAAUUAAUUUAAAAAUAUAAGAAAGAGUAAAAGGUAAUUAGCCAUCCUAAAAUUGAAUGAGAGAACUUUAACUCAAAAUUUUAAUUUGCUUAUAUGAUAUAUGAUAUAUGAUGAUGAUAUAUAUUACUAGCGUUUACGUUUUUUAUUUUGGUUCAAAACAUAGUGGUUAAAAAUAAACAAAUCAUAAAGUUUUAUUAUUAGUCAUUAAUGAAUGAGAGACGUUACGAACAUAUCUUUAGUUUAUUAAAAAAAAAAGAUAUCUUUAGUGACAGGUGUGAUAAUUGCAUGAGAGUUUUCAUUAUAAACUAAGCUACCUAAAACUAAUAACUCCCACGUUCGAUUCAACACAUUUACAACAAGAAGAAGUUCUUAAUCUAAAAUGGAAACUUAUUUUCUUAUUUUAUCCCUCGCCAUCUUCUUUUUCAUUUCUCUUAAACUUUUGUUUGAUAAACCGCAUAACAAGUUUAACCUACCACCAAGUCCGGCGAGGCCACUACCGUUGAUUGGACACCUUCACCUCUUGAAGCAGCCUCUCCACCGCACAUUCCUAUCCUUCUCUCAAUCUCUCGACAGUGCUCCAAUUUUCUCCCUCCGCCUCGGAAACCGUCUCGCCGUUGUCGUCUCCUCCUACUCCAUCGCCGAAGAAUGCUUCACGAAAAACGACAUCGUUUUGGCUAACCGGCCAGACUCCAUAGUCGGGAAAUACAUUGAGUACAACUUCACCACUGUGACCAGUGCGCCUUAUGGUGACCACUGGCGAAACUUGCGGCGUCUCAGCACCCUCGAGAUCUUCUCCUCGCACAAGCUCAAUGGCUUUUUAUCUGUCCGUAAGGACGAGAUCCGACACUUGCUACUUCGUCUCUCCAAAAACUCCCAGCAUGUAUGUGACCUUGUACAUAACUUGAAGAUUGUACUCUAUAAACAUUAUCAGAGUUUGUAACCUAGUAGUGUGUCUUAGUGUGGCCACUAGGUCAUAACCUGAGUCCGUGCAACACAAGUUUGAGAAUUGAUUAUUUUUUUAUUUGAUUAUAUAUUAGGGGUUUGCGAAGGUGGAGAUGAGAUCAUUGUUUAUGGAUUUGACUAUCAAUAAUAUACUCAGAAUGAUGGCCGGGAAAAGAUUUUAUGGUGAUGGAACAGAGCAAGACGACAAUGCACUGCGAGUGAGACAGCUGAUUGACGAGGUGGUAUCCUAUGCCGGAGCCGGGAAUGCUACCGAUUAUAUCCCAAUCUUGCGUUGGAUCACAAGUUUUGAGAAACGGGUUAAGAACUUAGCGGGUCGGGUCGAUGAGUUCUUGCAGAGCCUGGUGGAUGAAAAACGUGCAGAUAAAGAAAAGGGCGACACUAUGAUGGAUCACUUGCUUUCUCUCCAAGAAAUCCAACCUAAUUAUUACACAGAUAUCACUCUUAAGGGAAUCAUAGUUGUAAGUAUUUAUUUUUUCAACAUUUCUUAAUCUUGAAUAAUCUAUUUAAUAUAUAACAACACAAACUAAACUUUUGUUAAUUUAAUUUUUACAGGUUAUGAUACUUGCUGGAACUGAAACACUUACAGGAACAUUAGAAUGGGCUAUGUUGAAUUUGUUGAAUCAUCCAGAGGUAUUAAGGAAAACAAGAACAGAAAUCGAUACCAAAAUCGGUUUCGACCGGUUUAUUGAUGAACAAGAUAUUAAAAAUCUCCCUUAUCUCCAAGGGAUUGUGUUGGAGACCUUACGCCUCCACCCGGUAGCUCCUACACUUGUUCCACAUAUGACUUCAGAUGAUUGCAUUUUAGCUGGAUACGACGUUCCUUGUAGAUCGAUGCUAUUGGUGAACGUAUGGGCCAUGCAUAGAGACCCGUCUCUAUGGGAAGAUCCAGAAAUGUUCAAGCCAGAGAGGUUCGAAAAUGAAAAGGAAAAUCAAAAGGUGUUGUCGUUUGGGAUUGGACGUCGAUCAUGUCCCGGGGUUGGAUUAACUCAUCGGCUAGUGAGCUUGGCUCUUGGAUCUAUGGUUCAAUGUUUCGAUUGGGAGAGAAUUGGAGAAGAAUAUAUUGACACUAGAGAGGCACCUAUGAUGCGUCCAGCUACCCCUUUGCAAGCCAUGUGUAAAACUCGUCCCAUUGUCCAUAAGAUUCUCGACGCUUUUGCUUGAAUUGUAACUCUUCUUGGUUUUCUUUUAUGUUGGGAAAUAGUGUAUAAUUUUGUUGAAUUUUCGAUAUAUAUAUGAGUUCUCGUUUUUUAGGAUUAAGUAGACUAUAUAUAUAAAUUGGACUAUUGAUCGAUGUAUGAAUUGUUUUAACUUUUUUUUGUUAUAACUUUUAAGUUGAGAUACCCAUGUAAAAGACUCCCAACGGAAGUGUUCUUACGUAAUUAGAUUUUUGGUUCUAUAUAUAAUAUAGGCUCGGAUUUUUCUUUUGUUUUUUUGUUUUUGUUUCCGGUAUAGAACUUAACAAUUGUAGGACCGUUCAUGAAUAUAAUAGACACUAAAUCAACAGAUGGGUUGGAAUAUUUGAGGUAUGAAUUAUGAUAUUCCUUCCAUUUUAUUAAUUCAUUAGAAAUGCCGGGGUUUUCAUCAGUAAUAAAGGAUAAUUUAAUUUUUGUUUUACCCUUUAUUAAUUCACUAUUUAAUGAACAAGUUUAACAAAAAUCUGCACUGAAAAUAUAAAAUAAUACUUAAAAUAAAAAAUUAUAAGUAUUAAACGACACUUAAUAUAAAACAGAGAGAAUAAUAAACUUGGUUCUUUCAGUUACAUCUAUGUGAGAUUGGUAAAUGAUUUAUGUUACUGGCAUGGUAUAUGGGUUUCGACUAAGUCCAUUAUUUUUGUCCAUUAGCUUGGCUGAUCUAUGGGAUGCAUGAAGCUUAACAGAACCCACAAAAUCAAAUAAAAAUCAAUUUAUAGCCUCUAAAAGAAAGGGAUUUCGUACAUUUCCUAAAACUGUGAAAACAUUAUGCCAUAGGCCCAUAGUGAAUAUGCGGACACUGUCGCGAAACAAACACUCAACAAUUUCAGUAGAUCGAUUGCCUUAUAUAAUCAAACGCGUUCCUCAAUCUUUUUGAUAAUACAGAACAGCUUCCACAGUUGGGAAAUAACUCAAAAUCCUUCUAAGAACGCUCUCAUGCAAACUGCUGAAUUUAUCUUCAAGAUUCUGAUCACCAAUAAAUUUAUCUAGAUGUGUCGUUGCGGAAAAUGAGAUCGUCACUAAAUGUUAUCAUUUUGUCUUCGAAUACACUGAUUAUGUUGCCCUGAUACAGUUGAAAAAAAAAACACUAGAGGCACUCAAAUAAAAAAAGUUCAUAGCUUUAAAAUUUCUUGUAUAUUUUGAAAAUAAAAUUAAACUAAAUUGCUUAUACUUAUAUUUCCAUUUCUCUACAGUAUGAUCUAAUGAUUUUUGCAAUCCUCUAUGCUUUUAUUGUUGCAAUACUUAUAUUUCUUGUAAGUUUUGCAAUCCUCUACAUAUCAUUCUUCCCACAGCACUAUCUGAAGAUUCCAUCUGUGUUCAACUUAUCUUCCUGUUUGUGAAUUGUGUAUUAGAUUUGUACCUUACGUUUUUUUUUUUAAUAUCUUGAAGUGCUCUAGAAGUAUAAUUAUGAUAUCAUGUUGGAUUUUUUCAGAAUUUUUCUGAAGCCACUAAAUUUUGUUUUUGUUUUAUAUAUAUUUUGUAAAAAAUUAGAGAGUGAUGUGUUUCUAGGGACAAAAGACGAAGACUUGAAAAAUCAACCUUGGUGUUUUUCCUUCUUGUCCCAUUAAAAAUCUCAGUUUUCUCUUCCUCAGAAUCCUCUUCACAUCGACCACAGGUUUCUUCAUCCAUCGACUUAUUGAAAUUUCUUGUUGUAUAAGUUAAACCAAAAUGUGUGGAAACUGACUAUUCAACACAAAAGACUUUUCACUCUCUUCGUUCAACGUGAAUAACACUUCGUAGCAAAUUACUAGAUGGUGAGCCAAGCGAAGCUGAGUGGAAAUGGAGCACUGACUAUAUGUAUAUAAAGAGAUGGCAUGAAACCAAAUUAACCAUCACAAUUUCCAUUUGCUCGCUUCUUUUUCACUAUUGAUUUUCAAGAAAGUUAAAAAUUAGCUUAAAGAAAUAACGAAAGGCUCUUGAAACUCAAUGAGUAACAUUCAUAUUUCUCUUUCUUUUCUCCUCUUGUUCGUUUUUUAUUUUCAUGACGUGUUUGCGUCUCCUACUAGACACUUGUGUCGUCCAGAACAAAGGGAUGCACUUCUCGAGUUCAAGAAUGAGUUUGAGAUUCGGAAGCCUUAUCCUGAUUUUCAGUGUUAUAUUAAAGGUCGCUGGGUAAACCCGUACCCGAAGACGGAGUCAUGGGCAAAUAACACUGAUUGUUGUUAUUGGGAUGGUAUCAAGUGCGAUGCCAAAUCUGGGGAAGUGAUCGAGGUAGACCUCAGUUGCAGCUGUCUCUACGGCAAGUUUCGUUCCAAUUCCAGUCUGUUUAGGCUUCAUAACUUUCGUUUUCUCACCACUUUAGACCUUUUAAAUAAUGAUUUACAUGGUCAAAUCCCGUUCUCAAUUGGAAAUCUUUCUCUUCUCACUUCUCUCAACCUUUCUUUUAAUCGGUUUUUGGGUCAAAUUCCAUCUUCAAUUGGAAAUCUUUCACAGCUCACCUCUCUCAAACUUUCUUCCAAUCAGUUUUCGGGUCAGAUUCCAUCUUCAAUUGGAAAUCUUUCACUUCUUACCUCUCUUGAUCUUUCUUUCAAUCAGUUUUCGGGUCAGAUUCCAUCUUCAAUUGGAAAUCUAUCACUUCUUACCUCUCUCGACCUUUCUCUUAAUCAGUUUUCGGGUCAGAUUCCAUCUUCAAUUGGAAAUCUUUCACAGCUCACCUCUCUCAAUCUUUAUUCCAAUCAGUUUUCGGGUCAGAUUCCAUCUUCAAUUGGAAAUCUUCCACUUCUUACCUCUCUUGAUCUUUCUUCCAAUCAGUUUUCGGGUCAGAUUCCAUCUUCAAUUGGAAAUCUUUCACAGCUCACCUCUCUCUAUCUUUCUUCCAAUCAGUUUUCGGGUCAGAUUCCAUCUUCAAUUGGAAAUCUUUCAUUUCUUACCUCUCUUGAUCUUUCUUCCAAUCAGUUUUCGGGUCAGAUUCCAUCUUCAAUUAAAAAGCUCUCUCAUCUCAAAACUCUUUUCCUCCGUCGUAACAGACUCACUGGUGAAAUCCCAGAUUCUUUUGCCAGUUUGAAAAUUUUGACCAACUUAGAUGUUAGUUACAAUAAGCUUAGUGGUAACUUUCCAAUUUCCCUUCUAAAUUUGACAGAGUUGUCGUAUUUAUCACUCACUUCCAAUCAACUCACAGGAACGCUUCCCUCAAACAUUAGCUCACUCUCCAACUUGGUGAAUUUUUACGCAAGUGACAACGAUUUCGUUGGAACCAUUCCUUCUUCUCUCUUCACCAUUCCUUCUUUGACAAAAAUUUAUUUGUCAAAUAACCAACUCAACGGCACUCUUGAGUUUGGGAAUAUACCUUCACCAGCAAAGCUCGAGGAAUUAAUGCUUGGCGGUAACAACUUGAGAGGGCCAAUCCCGAGAUCCAUUUCCAAAUUAGUCAACCUCUAUUACCUUGACCUUUCCAAUUGGAACACCCAAUUAGGCCCAAUUGACUUGAGUAUCUUCUCGCAUCUCAAGUCACUCCGAAUUCUUGACUUAUCCCAUUUGAACACCACCACUACGAUUGACUUGAAUGCCAUCUUAUCAUGUUCUCAGUUGCUGGAAACAUUGGAUCUCUCAGGCAACCAUGUUUCAGCCGAAAACAAGAGCUCAGUUUCAGAUCCUCCUUCGCAAAUGAUACGAGAAUUAAACUUGUCAGGCUGCGGUAUUACCGAAUUUCCAGAGAUCAUAAGAACCCAGCAGUCAAUGAGGAGUCUAGACAUUGCCAACAACAAAAUCAAAGGUCAAGUGCCUGGCUGGUUAUGGACUCUACCAAAUCUGACGUACGUGAAUCUUUCCAACAACACUUUCGUCAGUUUCGAAAGACCAACGAAACAUGGACUAUCCUCUGCCGUGGAGUACUUGUCUGGCUCCAGAAACAAUUUCACAGGAAAGAUUCCCUCCUUCAUAUGCGCGUUGGGCUCUCUAAGCGUUCUCGAUUUAUCUGAAAACAACUUCAAUGGUUCAAUCCCUCUUUGUAUGGAGAAUCUCAAGAGUAAUCUUUCGGUUCUAAACCUCCGUCAGAAUCAUCUUAUCGGAGGCCUUCCGGAGAAUGUAUUUGAAAGUCUAAGGUCCCUUGACGUUGGUCAUAACCAACUGCUGGGAAAGCUUCCAAGAUCUUUGAUCCAUUUCUCUGCCCUUGAAGUUCUUAAUGUGGAAAGCAAUAGAAUCAACGACACGUUUCCGUUCUGGUUGAGUUCUGUACAAAACCUGCAAGUUCUUGUCUUACGCUCCAAUGCAUUCCAUGGACCGAUUCAUCGAGCCUCCUUCCUUCAGCUGAAAAUCAUCGACAUCUCGCAUAAUCAUUUUAACGGAGUUUUACCAUUAGAUUAUUUUGUGAACUGGAGUGGAAUGUCAUCACUUGGGACAAACGAAGAUCAAUCGAUUUACAUGGGAGAAGAUAGCUAUUACCACGAUUCAAUGGUUUUGAUGAAUAAAGGUGUAGAGAUGGAGCUGGUACGUAUCCUAAAAAUCCUCACAGCACUCGACUUCUCUGGAAACAGGCUUGAAGGUGAGAUUCCAAGCUCCAUUGGCCUACUGAAAGAGCUUCACGUGCUCAACUUGUCAAACAAUGCUUUCACUGGCCACAUACCAUCAUCUAUGGGGAACCUGACAGCUCUCGAGUCACUUGACGUUUCUCAAAACAAGCUUUCAGGAGUGAUCCCACAAGAGCUAGGGAAUCUCUCGUACCUUGCGUACAUGAACUUCUCCCACAACCAACUGGAGGCACUCAGUUUCGAACGCAGCCUUGCUCUUCCUUCGAACACAACUCUGGACUUUUUGGCCCUGCUCUUGACGAAGUUUGCAAAGAUAUCCACAAGCCAUCAUCGCAAGAGUAUAAAACACCAGAGGAGGCAGAGGAAGAAGACGAAGAAGUGUUUAGUUGGAUUGCAGCUGCAAUAGGAUUUGGACCUGGCAUUGUAUUUGGACUGACGAUUGGAUUCAUACUGGUUUUAUACAAACCGAGGUGGUUCACGAGUCCUUUUGGUCGAAACAAACGCAGAAGCAGAAGCACCACAACUCAUUAAGAGAGGUAAUGUUUUGAAUUUGAUAGAUUAAAGACUAUUGUAUAGUAUAAUGAAUUUUUCUGGGUUAAUGUAUACUGUAUGUGAAAAUUAACGCUGUUUUUGUUUGUAUAGCGUUCUUAAACCCAAGAUGAAGAAUCUUUGAAAAACAGAAUGAAGCAACCAGACCAUAGGUAGAGAAGAAGCUUGGGGGAGAAGGCAACUCAUUUUAUCAAAGUCUAAAUAUCAGUGAUUGUUUUUGGUUUAGUUUGGUGUGUUUAUCAUAUACUCUGUUUUUAGCCAAUGUUUGUGUUUCUCUGUAAUUGAACAAUGAAAGAUUGUUUACAAAGCUCAAACUUAUUCUUAUUUAUUAGAUAAACAUGAUUUGAGAGAGGUAAUAAUGUUCUUGCUCCGACUAAAUCAAUUAUUCUUCUGCCAAAUGAAGAACUAAGAUUCAACACACAUCUCAGAACAUUGAUCCUUAUUCUCUUUUGGUAAUAUUAAUUAGCUGAGUAAAAUGAUAACUUACUUAGCUUAUUGACAGAUAUUUCACUUAGCAGAUAGAUAUAUUAGUUAGCUGCGAUCAAGAUCACCGACCAGUUAAAGCUAUAGAUAUACAGGCUUAAAACCCAAGCUUUGCCAUCAGAAUGAGAGAAAAAAAAUCAUCUCACAAAUCAUUCCACUUUCCAACUACUGAAACUCUUCAAUAGUCAAAUGACUCAAAUCUGAAUAAGAGAGUAUACAUACACACAUACUUAAGUCCUAAAUCUUGUUUAUAAAUGUAACAAAAAUAACCCAUCAUUUUUAACCAAAAACAUUGAACGAAGAAAUUACCCUAUGUUUAUCUGAUAUGAUUGUGAUGUAUCUGCCAUCACCAAGUCCUAAAUCUUGUUUAAGGUGAUUAACGAACCAUCCCCAGUUGAUGUCGUUUUCGAUCUCCACUACUGCCCACGCUAUAGGAACAAUUCUAUUAUCUCCAUCCCUUCCAACUGCAGCUAUCAAUAGGCCUUUAACAUCCCAUUUAAGGAAUGCACCAUCUAGUCCUAUGAUAGGUCUGCAAUGUGUUUUCCAAGUGACUCGUUGUGCUUCAAAACAGACAUAAAUACGAUCAAACCUUUGCUUGCUUCCGGGUGUUGGCCCUGGAAUAGUCUGAAUAUCCAUAAUGGUUCCUUUAUUAGUCUUAUGAAUCUCUGCUUCGUAAUCCCAGAUUCGAGCAAAAUGUGUUCCAUGGCCUGCUCGUCUUUGCCUAGUAAUUUUGGUCUAAAUUACUAGGCUAGGUCAGUAUCUAAUUUGGCUAGGUCAAUAUAAGUUCGGGUGUUUUUUGGCUUAUUACAAAGUUUGUAUUUUUUUUUGGCAAAAUCAUAUAAGUUUGGUAUUUAGAUGACCGAUUUCCCUACACACAUACUUAAGGGUCACGAUGACAAAAUCUUCGGUUUAACCAAUAAGAGUAUUCAUCAAAAGACAUCUUAUAAACCAAUGGAUUAUAUUUUAAAAACUUGGUGAAAACAAACAAGAAAUUUAUCAAUAAAAUACAAGAACACUGGGUCAAUAACUGCUUAAUUCUUUUUUUUUUUUAAAAAAACAAAAGGUAAAUGAUGCAAUUGAUAGUAUAAUCUACACUACUCUAUACUCCACUGUUUUACUUUUUUUAUUUUAAGUACACAACUUUUUGUUAUUUUUUAUUCUUGGGAGAUGUAUAUCCUAUAAACAAAACUGUGUUAAAUGGAAGGACUUGAUAGACACCAAAACCAGAAGAGAAACGAAAACAAACGGCUCAAACUUGACAGUAUAAAAUAUCUACUGUUAAAACAUCAUCCAAAAUUUAUAAAUUAACGAUUGAGAAAUAUUUUGAUAAAAAAUAUAAUUCGAUAAUAUUGAUCAGAUUACAGCAUCACAAAGUCAGUGAACAAAUCAUAUAAAACAAACUUGAAUAAAGAAAAUUGUAUCAUGCCAAUUGCCAAAAGAAACCAAACAAAUAAAUAGAUAACAGAAAGUAGAAACAUUGACUGACCGAUUACUAAGUUCUGGACAAAAGACGAAGACUUGAAAAGUCAACUUCAGUCUUCUUCCUUAUUGUCCCACCAAUAAUUUUACUUUUUCUCCUUCAAUCUCAUCUUCUUCCUCAAUCCUCUGAACAUCGACCACAUGUUUCUUCAUCCAUUGACCUCAAAUACUUGAUUUUCACUAUCGACUCUCUUUCUUUCUCUCUCUCUCUAGAUUUUCCGUCAAAGCUAUGGAGAAACUCUGUCUUCGAAACUCUGUUUCUCUCAUGACGAUGGUGGUUAUUGUUCUUCUUCCUCGUUGCACUCUUUCUACUACUUCUACAUAUUCUCGUCCCGAGAAGUUGUACGUCAACUGUGGGUCGGAUUCUAAUGUCACUUACGGUAACCGGACUUUUGUCGGAGAUAUGAUCUCUGGUGGUAACUCCGUUUCAUUCACCAAGAAAGGAACUGAAGCCAUCAACCAAUCAGGAUCAGGAAUCUACGAAAUGGUUAGGAUAUUCACAAGCCCUUCUUCUUACAAGUUCCAACUCGAUUCCGUUGGUCUGCACUUCGUGCGUCUCCAUUUCUCUGCUGUCUCUUCUCGGACACAGCUUUUAGCUGCUCGUUUCACAAUCUCAGCUACUUCUCACUUGAAAAGUUUCUCGCUUCAGAAUUUCAAUGAGACCCCACGAGUUGAGGAGUUUCUCCUGAUGAUUGACUCGCCGGAAUUCGAAAUUCGAUUUGUGCCCGAUCAUUCAUCCAUGGCUUUCGUCAACGCCAUCGAAGUGUUCUCUGCUCCAGAUGACCUAGAAAUUCCGUCAGACUCCGACAAGAAUCUGCAUACGGUUUACAGAUUAAACGUAGGAGGCAAGAAGAUCACACCAGAAAACGACACCUUGGGAAGAACUUGGUCAUUAGACGAUGACUUCCUCUACGAAAAAGAUUCUGCGAGGAACAUUAACUCAACACAAAAGCCUAACUAUGAGUCAGGAACAGUGACGCAAUUCACUGCUCCUGAUUUCGUCUAUCAGACAGCUAAAACGAUGAACCAUAGCUCGAACGAGGGGGUGGUAGAGGGAAUGUUGAUGAACGUCACUUGGUCAUUUAAGGUCAAAAGCAGCUCAAGACACUUCAUCAGGGUUCACUUCUGUGAUAUCAAGAGUGAAUCACAAAAUCCCGACUCCGAUUUCUAUCUCUAUGUAAACGGACAAUCACGACUAGAUGUAAAGCCUUCAGAGCGUAUUAGGUUGGUGACUCCGUUUUUCAAAGAUGUGAAUGUCUCUGAUGGUUUUGGACUCUUGAAUGUUACAAUAGGUACUAAGGAUUCCACUAAGGAUGCUGGUUUUCUGAAUGGUCUGGAGGUGAUGGAGUUUUUGAAAAAGUCAGAUUCUUCAGAUAAAAGUAGUUUCCGGGUUUACAUCAUUGCUGGCUGUGUUGUUGCUGCAUCGGUUCUGGUAUUGAGUUUGUUGUUCACAGUUUUCUUGAAGCGGAGGAGAUUGAAGAAGGAAAAGAAGUUAGACGCUGAGGUCACUGAAUGGUCUCCUUUGCCAUUGUACAGAGGUGGUGGGAGUUCCGACAAUAGACCUUCUGAUCCGGUCAACAAUUCUCCAUUACGCAGCAAUAGAACUUUUGAUCCGGUCAACAAUUCGCCAUUACGCAACCUAAACUUAGGCUUGACCAUUCCCUUCAUAGACAUUAUGAGAGCUACAAACAAUUUCGACGAGCAGUGGUUGAUCGGGAGAGGCGGUUUCGGAGACGUUUACAAAGCCAUUCUUCAAGAUGGAAGCAAAGCGGCUAUCAAGAGAGGCAAGAGUGGUUCAGGACAAGGAAUAUUGGAGUUUCAAACAGAGAUUCAAGUCCUGUCGAGAAUCCGGCACAGGCACCUCGUUUCUCUAACGGGUUACUGCGAAGAGAACUCGGAAAUGAUCCUUGUCUACGAGUUUAUGGAGAAAGGUACGCUUAAGGAGCAUCUAUAUGGCUCGGAUUUGCCUUCACUGACAUGGAAACAGAGACUAGAGAUCUGCAUCGGAGCAGCCAGAGGUUUGCAUUAUCUCCACAGUGGCUCAGAAGGAGCAAUCAUUCACAGAGAUGUCAAAUCCACAAACAUACUACUAGACGAGAACACCGUAGCCAAAGUUGCCGAUUUCGGGCUCUCAAAACUCGCGGUUCGUAAUCAAGAUCCGAUUAAUAUCAGCACUAACAUCAAAGGAACAUUCGGUUACCUCGAUCCUGAGUAUCUGCAGACACACAUCUUGACGGAGAAAUCAGAUGUUUACGCUUUUGGAGUCGUUCUCCUCGAGGUCUUGUGCGCGAGAUCGGCUCUCGAUCCUUCUCUUCCUCACGAGGAAGUGAAUCUAGCCGAGUGGGCGAUGUUCUGCAAAUCCAAAGGGAUAAUCGAUGAGAUCUUAGAUCCGAAAUUGAUAGGUCAGAUCGAGCCGAGUUCGUUGAGGAAAUACAUGGAAAUCGCGGAGAAGUGUUUGAAAGAGUACGGAGACGAGAGGCCGAGCAUGGGGGAUGUGAUCUGGGAUCUGGAGUAUGUUCUUCAGCUUCAGAUGAUGCCGAUUCGCAGAGAGCCUCAUGAGGAUAGCGCCGCGACGAUCUCCGGCGGCGGAGGCGAAAGCUCGUUGGUGAUUCCGAGGUUGAUGGUGAGUGAUUCGUUUAGCUCAAACUCGAUUGUUCAGAAGAACGAAGGGAAGAGCAGCUAUGGAGGUACAGAUUCAUCGGAGAGUCGAGUUUUCUCCCAAUUGAAGAUCUCCGAAGCAAGAUAAAACGUUCUGAUUUGAAAAGCGUCUGGUUUAAAGCUUUUGAUAUUAAAAACCGGUUAUUGCCGGUUUAAAUUUAUUCAUUUAAAACAGAUGCAAAGUAAACUAGUCAAGGGACUGUAAUAUAAAAAUUAAAACUCGGUUAUCUUCGGUUUAAAGUUAAUUAUUCUAAGACAGAUGCAAAUUUCCGAAUCGAAAAUACAAAUCAAUUUGAUUAACCGAUAAAAACCUAAUUUCAAGAAAAAUUCUGAUUUGAUAAGUCUGGUGUAGUGUAAUUUUUGAGAUUGAAACCCGCCAGUUUAAAGAUAAUUAUUAAGUAACGAGUCAGUUGACUGAAUAUGAAAUAUAAACCCGGUUAUCUUCGGUUAAAAACUAACUAUUCUACGACAAAUGCAAAUAUCUUUACGAAAAACAAGUCAAUUUAAUUAACCGAUAAAACCUAAUUUCAAGAAAAGUUCUGAUUUGAUAAGUGACUGGUUUAGUUUUUGAAAUUAAAACCCGGUUACUGCCGGUUUAACGAGUCAACUGAUUGUGAUGUCGGCGAUGAACGAAUCCAGAUUCCGAGCCGAUGAUCCACCAGGCGCCAACGCCGAUCUCGCCGCGUACUUCAGCUCCGUCGCUCUCCUCCUCAUAUCCGCGGCGGCGGAUCCUUCCGUCACGGCCUCAAUACAUCUCUCCACCUCUUCAACCUUAAGCUCUCCGUCAACGGUGUCGUUCCUCAUCCUCACUCCGAUCCCGAACACAUCCACAAGCAAUCUCGUGUCAAGCGGCUGAUCAAUCCAGCUCGGAUACGCCACCACCGGAACACCAGUCACCACCGUCUCGACCGUCGAGUUCCAGCCGCAGUGCAUGACGAAACAAGAUAUCGCCACGUGGCUCAGUAUCCUCUCUUGUGGACCCCACUCAAUCACAAUACCUUGACCUUCUUUAACCAUCUCCUGCAAAACGUCGACGUUUUCGCCUUUCUCCUUUGGCCUAAUCACCCAGAGAAACGAAACUCCUCUGUUUCUCAGAGCCGUUGCUAUGCUCUUAACUUGAGUCUCCGAAGAUUUCAGCAAACUUCCAAAAGAAAUGUAAACAACCGAAGUAAGCCACUCCAUACUAUACUCAUCCGAUUUCCACAUAUCAAGAUUUUUACCAUCUAGGGUUUUGUCUUCUUCAUCAGCUCCCAACAGAAAUGGAGAAACCAGAGGACCAAUUGGGAUCAUGGGUUUUAAACCAGACAUCGAUUCGAUUAUCUCUGAUUCGAGCUCGUAGAACGAAUUAACCAAAACCCAUUUCACAUCUUUCAAGCAAUCGACGAACUCCACCAUUAGGCUAUUGAAAUGACUUCCUGAAGAAGGCAACAGAAACGAAGGGAGAUCUCCGACUUCCAGCAAUGGUAAACCUGGCAAUUCAACCGUUUGAUUCAAAUCUUCGAGAUUCUCGGGGAAAGCGUUCGUCUUCAUGUAGUAACGGUAAUAAACGGAGAAAGCUCCACAAGCUUCGAUCCAGAGGAUUGCACAGGGGAUGUUAUAUGCAGCUGCAACACCUGGANNNNNNNNNNNNNNNNNNNNNNNNNNNNNNNNNNNNNNNNNNNNNNNNNNNNNNNNNNNNNNNNNNNNNNNNNNNNNNNNNNNNNNNNNNNNNNNNNNNNNNNNNNNNNNNNNNNNNNNNNNNNNNNNNNNNNNNNNNNNNNNNNNNNNNNNNNNNNNNNNNNNNNNNNNNNNNNNNNNNNNNNNNNNNNNNNNNNNNNNNNNNNNNNNNNNNNNCAGUGACGAUGCAAGAGAAUCUCUUUGAUUCGACGAUUUUAGACAAGUUCUUGGCUCCUACUUUUCUCAACGAUGGUAUGAGAGAAUCCGCACCUCCUGUGUGGUCUUUAGGCAGACCGUCGGAGAAGAAAGCAAGGUCCACUAGGCUAUGGUGAUGUUCUUUGUCUGCGGUGGUGGCUGCGGUGGAGAGGAGGUCACGGGUUUUCUCGGUGGUGGCGAGAGUGAAUCGGAGGUUCGGUCUUGAGAGAUGUUUGGCGAAUUUGAGCAUUGGAUUAAGAUGAUCUUGAAAUGGUAGUGCUACCAAUAGAACAUGUGUUUCUUGACCCUCACUAUUUCUCAUUUCUGCUUUGUUUAGAGGUGUUACUUAUUAGACUUGAGUUGUGUAUGAGAUUGUGUGUAACUUGUAAUUGUGGUGGUAUAUAUAACAAUGGUUGCUUAACGAUAGAUUUUUGCUUAAAAUGAAGUUAUUAAGUGAGAUUUUGGUAAGAAAAAUCUAUAUAUAGUAAAAAUUGGUAACCCAAUAAAAUGUUGUUGAAUAGAUUCAAAAGUUACCACGUUUAUUAGCACUCUGCGCCUUGUCCUUAACUCAAUUCAAAUCUUGUAUAAUUGUUGACAAAAAAAACACGAUAUAUAUACCAAUUCUAGUAUGGUUAAAGUCAACAGUCAUUACUAAUGAUUUAUGAAUCUUUUUGUAUAGUGUGACACUGAGAUCAUUGUAAUUUGUUAAUGACAAUCUAUAAACUGUAAUUGGUAAUCCAAUAAACGUUGGUCAAUAAAUUCAAAUUUAAUCAUGUGUUUCUAUGCUCUUGUAAAUAAAUAAAUAUAUGUUAUUUUCAAUUGUGUUAUGGUUAUGAUUAGAUUUAUAUAAAAAAUAUGGUUAUGAUUAGAUUUAUAUAAAAAAAAAAACAGGUCUCAAUUCAUUCGGAUCAGUCUCGUUUGUAUUUGUCUCACUUUUAGAUUUGAAAUCCGUUAAGCUCUAUUUAGUUUUUGGAACUAACAGAGUAAUCGGUUUAUACACGCCAAAAUUCUUUUAAUCUAUUUAAAACCAUUUACGAUAUGAUGCUUAAACAUUCUUAAUAUUUAUUUUAAAUUAUAUAAACUAAGCUUUUGGAAGCUAAUCAGAAGUUAACACACCAAUAUAAUUACCAUUGUUUUUUUAUUAAAUAAUAAUUACCAAUGUUUCAAGGCAUGCUUGAAUAUUCCACUAAGAAAAAUCAUCGAAAUUGUUUAUACUAAUCUAAAAUCCUAGCAAAGGUGGGUGAAUCUUUUUUUUUAAAAUAGUUAUACAUAUUUUCGAGAUGACAAAAUUUAACAAUAUGAUAAAAUCAUAUGGACACUCGAACAUUUAUGUAGAUUUAGUUAUGUUAUAUAUCCAAGAAGAAAUGAAUAAUAUUAAGUAACAUCUAUUACAAAUAACAUAUCAAUUGGUAACAUCAGAUGGCAAAUCAAAUAACAUCAUUACGUAGUAAAUUCAUAUGCAUGCGUUACUAGCUAAGCUUGUAUUCACUUUAUAAAAGAAAAUACAAAAUAGCAAUAGCAAUAAUGAAGGGAAGAGCAGCUACGGAGGUACAGAUUCAUUGAUCGAAGAGUCGAGUUUUCUCCCAAUUGAAGAUCUCUGAAGCAAGAAAACAAAUAAUCUCUUGAAUCCUUCUGAUUUAAAUACCGACUGGUUUUAACUUUUGAUAAUAAAAUCCGGUUAUUGCCGGUUUAAAUAUAAACAUUUUUUUAAGUCGACAAAAAAAAACAUUUCAAAACAGAUGUAAAGUGAGUCAACACUAUGAUCGAUGACUUUCUAGUUGAUGAGAAACGUGCACAAAAAGAAAAGGGUAACACUAUGAUCGAUCACUUGCUUUCUCUCCAAGAAACUCAACCAAAUUAUUAUACGGAUGUCAUCGUCAAAGGACUCAUAGUUGUAAGUAUUGAGGAAUACAUUUAAUACAUCACUAACAACUAACAAGGCUAACUAAGCUUUUUAUAAUGACUAAUUCUUGACUUCUAUUUGGAUAGGUUAUGAUAUUUGCUGGAAAUGUAACAUAAACAAGAACGUUAGAAUGGGCGAUGCUAAAUCUGUUGAACCAUCCAGAAGUACUAAAGAAAGCGAGGAUUGAAAUCGAUACAAACAUUGGUUUGGACAGGUUAAUAGAUGAACAGGAUGCGAAAAGUCUUCCUUACCUCCAAUGCAUCAUAUCAGAGAUUUUUCGACUUUACCCGGCAGCUCCUUUACUUGCUCCUCAUAGGGCUACAGAUGAUUGUAUAGUUGGAGGCUACGACUUCCCUCUUGGCACGACAUUAAUCGUGAACGUAUGGGCCGGCCAUUCACCGAGACCCAAACAUAUGGUAAGAGCCAGAAAAGUUCAAGUUAGAGCGGUUCGAGAAGAAAGGAGAAGAACAAAAGUUGAUGCCGUUUGGAAUGGGACGACGAGCUUGUCCCGGGUCUGGUCUAGCUCAACGGGUCGUGAGUUUGGCUCUCGGAUCGAUGAUUCAAUGUUUUGAAUGGGAGAGACUUGGAGAAGAAUAUGUUGACCUAAGUGAAGCAACCACAAUGCGUCCAACGACGCCGUUGCUAGCCAUGUGUAGAGCUCGUCCUAUUGUUCAUAAGAUUUUCAAUGCUUCUUUUUGAGAUGUCACUCCCUUUUUAAAAAAAUAUGUAUAUCCAUUUAUGUUAUAUCCAUUUUGAGAUGUAAUUAAAAUGAAAGACAAAGACUAGUCUUUGAUUUACCUUUAGAUUUUCGAUUUUAUUAAAAUUCAAAAACUAUUUUUUUUUUCAAAAACCAAAAUUUAGAAGUUAAAGGCUACUCCAUUAUCAAAUAAACUCACUUCUAAAUUUCUAAAAUUAUGAAUGAGGAGUAGUUUUUUUUUACUUUGAGAAAGGGUGAAGAAAUUUUUCCAAUUUAUUAGUUUUUUUUUUGUUGAGGAAGGGUUAAGAAAAGGGAGCUUGUUUUAUAAUAGAAUCUCUCAUGCAAUUAUUCCACCUGUCACUAGAGAUAUGUUCAUAACUUCGUAACGUCUCAUGCAAUUACUGACUAAUAAACAUGUGUAAUAAGUCUCCAUUAAUAUUGAUAGUCUAUUUAUUUUGCUUUUAAUUAAUAGGGUUUUGAGUAGAAAUUUGUUUCUUUCUAAUAUUAUAGACAAUAUAUAUUGCUAGCGUUUACGUUUUUGGUUUAAACCAUAGUGAUUAAAAAUAAACAAAUCAUAAAUUAUUAUUAAGGGUGACCUACACAUAUUUAUUAGUCAUUAAUGAAUGAGACGUUACGAACAUAUUUUUAGUUUAUUAAAAAAAAAAGAUAUCUUUAGUGACAGGUGUGAUAAUUGCAUGAGAGUUUUCAUUAUAAACUAAGCUACAUAAACUAAUAACUUCCAUGUUCGAUUCAACACAUUUACAACAAGAAGAAGUUCUUAAUCUAAAAUGGAAACUUACUUUCUAAUUUUAUCCCUUGCCAUCUUCUUUUUCAUUUCUCUAAAACCUUUGUUUGGUAAACGGCACAGCAAGUUUAACCUACCACCAAGUCCGGCAAGGCCACUACCGUUGAUUGGACACCUUCACCUCCUGAAGCAGCCUCUCCACCGCACAUUCCUAUCCUUCUCUCAAUCUCUCGACAGUGCCCCAAUUUUCUCCCUCCGCCUCGGAAACCGUCUCGCCGUUGUCGUCUCCUCCUACUCCAUCGCCGAAGAAUGCUUCACAGAAAACGACAUCGUUUUGGCCAACCGGCCAGAGUCCAUAGUCGGGAAAUACAUUGAGUACAACUUCACCACUGUGACCAGUGCGCCUUAUGGUGACCACUGGCGAAACUUGCGGCGUCUCAGUACCCUCGAGAUCUUCUCCUCGCACAAGCUCAAUGGCUUUUUAUCUGUCCGUAAGGACGAGAUCCGACACUUGCUACUUCGUCUCUCCAAAAACUCCCAGCAUGUAUGUGAGCUUGUACAUAACUUGAAGAUUGUACUCUAUAAACAUUAUCAGAGUUUGUAACCUAGUAGUGUGUCUUAGUGUGGCCACUAGGUCAUAACCUGAGUCCGUGCAACACAAGUUUGAGAAUUGAUAAUUUGUUUAUUUGAUUAUAAAUUAGGGGUUUGCGAAGGUGGAGAUGAGAUCAUUGUUUAUGGAUUUGACUAUCAAUAACAUUCUCAGAAUGAUGGCUGGGAAAAGAUUUUAUGGUGAUGGAACAGAGCAAGUGAGACAGCUUAUUGACGAGGUGGUAUCCUACGCCGGCGCCGGGAAUGCUACCGAUUAUAUCCCAAUCUUGCGUUGGAUCACAAGUUUUGAGAAACGGGUUCAAGAACUUAGCCGGGUAGGGUCGAAUGAGUUCUAGCAGAGCCCUGUGGAUUGAAAAAACGUGCGGAUAAAGAAAAGGGCGACACUAAUGAUGGAUCACUUGCUUUCUCUCCAAGAAAUCCAACCUAAUUAUUACACAGAUAUCACUCUAAAGGGGAUUAUAGUUGUAAGUAUUUAUUUUCUACAUUUAUUAAUCUUGAAUAAUCUAUUUAAUAUAUAACAACAUAAACUAAACAUCUGUUAAUUUAAUUUUUACAGGUUAUGAUACUUGCCGGAACUGAAACACUAAUAGGAACAUUAGAAUGGGCUAUGUUGAAUUUGUUGAAUCAUCCAGAGGUAUUAACGAAAGCAAGAACCGAAAUCGAUACCAAAAUCGGUUUUGACCGGUUAAUAGAUGAACAAGAUAUUAAAAAUCUUCCUUAUCUCCAAGGGAUUGUGUUGGAGACCUUACGUCUUCACCCUGUAGCUCCUACACUUGUUCCACAUAUGACGUCAGAUGAUUGCAUUUUAGCUGGAUACGACGUUCUUUGUGGGUCGAUGUUAUUGGUGAACGUAUGGGCCAUGCAUAGAGACCCGUAUAUAUGGGAAGAUCCAGAAAUGUUCAAGCCAGAGAGGUUCGAAAAUGAAAAGGAAAAUCAAAAGGUGUUGUCGUUUGGGAUUGGACGACGAUCAUGUCCCGGGGUUGGAUUAACUCAUCGGUUAGUGAGCUUGGCUCUCGGAUCGAUGGUUCAAUGUUUCAAAUGGGAGAGAAUUGGAGAAGAAUAUAUUGACACUAGAGAGGCACCUAUGAUGCGUCCAGCUACACCGUUACAAGCCAUGUGUAAAACUCGUCCCAUUGUCCAUAAGAUUCUCGAUGCUUUUGCUUGAAUUGUAACUCUUCUUGGUUUGAUUUAUGUUCGGAAAUAUUACAUCAACUUGUUUUGAGUUGGGAAAUAAUUCAAAAUCCUUCUAAGAACGCUUUCAUGCAAACUGUUGAAUGUAUCUUCAAGGUUCUGAUCACCACCUAGCUAAGUCUUUGCGGAAGAUCCUCACUAAAUAUUAUCAUUUUGCCUUCGAAUACAUUGAUGUUGUUGCCCUGAUACAGUUGAAAAAAAAAACAACUAUAGAGACACUCAAAUAAAAAAAAAGUUCAUAGCUUUAAAAUUUGAGAAAAUUUGAAAAAAAUACCUUAUCAUGAGUUUUUAAUUUGAAAAAUACACCAAUUUUUUUUUUUUUGAAAUCUACACUUAUUGAUAAGUAAAAUAACAAAAUUAACCAUAAUUUGAAAUUGAAGUAAUUUUUUAUUUAGAUUGUAAUAUAUUUUAAACAUAUAUAUAUGUAUAUAUAUUUAGAUAUUCUGCACAAAGAAUAUCUAGUUAGUUUCUAUUUUAUUUAACUUUAAUUACCAAACAAUAUUUUAAUUAAAAAAACGUUUUAACUCAAUUCAACGAGACUUCAGAUUCUGUAAAACACAGAUCACACUCAUUUGCACUCACGCCGUCAAAAUCACUAUUCACAAAUUGGUAGAUUUUUUUUCUUUCGUUCUUGAUUUAUAUUUGUCGUAGUAUUAUACUUCUUCUCUUUUUAUUCUCAAAAUGGUUUGUUUUGUUUUUUAUUUAUACAGAAAAAUGGUGCAUAUCGCUGGAGUUUUUGGUGAAUGGCAAGUGAAAAAAGAAUCAUGGAAAUUCAUCGUGAAUACUAAAAAAAGAGGUAAAUUAUUCACGAUUAGGGAUGAUUUGAAGUUUGCUGAUAUGGUUUGAAGUUUGCUGAGAUGGCCGAGUCUAUAAAUGUUGUGUUCAAAAAGCCUCGUGAGCUACCCAUUGUCUCAUUGAUUGAGGUAAUAAAGAAUACACUAACACGGUGGUUUUUUUAUCGUCGAGAAAGUGCUGCGAAACUUACUUCUUCUCUCACACCUAAAGUUGAAAACAAGCUCAAUAAACGGUGUGAUUUGUCUGAUACUUUCGAUGCGCAGCCCAUAAAUCAAUAUGAGUUUCAGGUAACCGAUGGCUCCCAAAAUUUUUUGGUUGAUCUACAACGGAUGACUUGUACAUGUCAAGUGUUUAGUAUUGAUAAGAUCCCCUGUAAGCAUGCUGCUAAAGCUGCAAAAAGUCGAGGCAUAGACCCUGGGUUAUAUGUACAUCCGUACUACUCAAAGUCAUACUUGUGUGCUGCAUAUUCAGAGAGCAUAAGACCUGUAGGUGAUAUUUCAGAAUUGAGCGAAAUACCUGCUGAUAUUGUUGGUCAGAUAUGCUUACCUCCAGAUGUCCGAAGGAAACCAGAAAGACCCGUAAAAAGAAGAUAUCAAAGUGUUGGAGAACAAGCAAUGAGGAAAAAAGCACGCAAACAAUGUUGUUCAAGAUGUCAUCGUUCAGGACACAAUCGUGCGAGAUGUGACUUUGGAAUUUGAUUUUUAUUUUUUAUUUGGUUUGAAACUCUGUUUUUCAUUUCGUAAACUUUUUUCACUCUUCCUUGAAUUGGGAUUUUACAUAUUCUGGUUUUAUAUUAUUUGUAUGCAGACUCUCUCUUUCAAUUUCUCUUAUAUCACCAGUUUGCUAAUGCGUCCUUUUUUUCUUGGUCUUUUCCAAAUCAGUAAUACUAGUAAGUGCAUUACCGUUCUUGAAAUCAAUGAGAAAAUUGAAGAUCUUGAACAAAAUCAAGUUUAAACCUUAUUGCUUUUUUGAAGAUUCAUUGGUUCGCUCCAAUCCUCGAAAUGCAUUUGAUCGCUCAAAGUAUGUUGCCUCAAUGAGACAGACUCAACUUGGUAAUUUGAUCGUUGCUUUUUUUUCAUUCUGAAAACGAUAGUCUGCAUUGAUUAAUGUUGCAUGAGUCUAGUUGUGUGACUUAGGUUGUGGUGCUUGACGAGAGAGGCCGUGACAUUAACUCAGAGCAGAUGGCUGAUUUACUAGGCGAUGCAGGAAAUAGUGUAAGCUUAUACCUUCUCUUUGUUCUUACAUCACCCAUAUCUGUUUUCAGGGAGCUUCAAGGAUAUCGUUUUGUAUAGGUGGACCUUAUGGACAUGGAAGAUAAGUGAGGAAGCGAGCUAAUGUGACCAUUAGACUUUCCUCCAUGGUUCUGAAUCAUCAGAUAGCUCUUGUGGUCUUGAUGGAACAGCUUUACAGGUGAAACCAUUGUUGCUUCCGUCUGUGUGUGCGUCCCAGUUACACUUAAUUUCAAGUUUUUAUAGCCUCGCCGGUUGUGCGUUCAUAUGAUGUGAUGGGGUUUUCUGUUUUCAGGUCAUGGACUAUUCUCAAGGGACAAAAUUACCAUCAUUCAGGAUGUAUGAAUCUCUAUUUUUGGUGUUCUUCUUUUGCUUUCUUGUGCUUAAAGAAACUGGAUUGCUAAAAAGACUUUCUGCUUAUAAUGUAUCAGAAAUUGUUUAUUGAACGUGAAAACGUUUGUAAUCCAAAGUUUAUUGCUUCUGAUCUUGGCUUAGAUUUGAGUCAUCCGAGUGCAAUAUCUGAUUUUGUAUGUUGCAUAUUGUUCUCAUCAUAUAGAGAUUGAAUGAAUGUAGAAGCGAUUGUGGCUGUUCAACAAAUGAUCCUCUCUCCACAUAUCUCCAUAUAAAGGGAAGGAGAUAGGAGACGCUUUAUGAACGUAGAUCAUCUUCCCUUCUUUGAAUCUAGAUUCUUCUCUUGUGUUUGAUUUCCGUUUUGAAGAGUGAAGAGUAAAACGCAAUGUUUUCAGAUUCUAUUUUCAAUACAGUGUUUAUUAGACUUUUUUCUGAUAAUCAAAAGUAAUAACACUCUGUGCAUUAUUCCAUUCUCAUGGAGAUGUGAAACUGCAAAGACAAUUUCUGCAGUCUACACACGAGCCAAGUCCUCUCUAUGAAAAACAAAACAUAGAACUAGUCAGUCCUAUAAUAGUUGCAAAAAGGAAUUAAACUAAACCUGAAAAGCCCUUGGUGAGAGAGCUUGAAGAAUUAAAUGCCCUCCGUUUAUGAAGUCCAUCACAAGAUACAGACUAUACUUAGUCUGCAGAAAAAGAAAAGAAAAACAGGUUCGUAUAGUGCUAUGAUAGCUCAAGAAAACAGAGAAAAUGGAUAAAGUUUGAUUUUGCAAGAUUAGCAAACGAGAUUUGCUCCAGUCUCUUCGCUCUGCUUGUGAUGCUGCUGGUUCUCUUCUUGUUUUCGAUAAGGUACAUAGAAGGAACAGAGAAGCUGAGUCUAGCAAAGGUUUGAGCAAAUUUGAAGUGAGAAUCAAAGAGCUUGAGAUUAAUGCCAAGGGACGAGAAGUUUAAUUAUUGACCUUCGGGGAAGAGUUUCAUUAGCGUUUUAGAAACAAAGAUUUUCUUUUAUAAAGUCUUGUGAAGUCUGCAAGAUUUUCUUUUAUGAGAUUUAUGAGUAAAGCAAAAAAGUAUCUAAAGAAAAGAGUAAUGUAAAGAUCACAAUGUGAUUCAUCUAUUAGAUUUCUAAAAAAAAAAUAUAACUAAAUAGGAAAACCAAGUGAGAAGCAAUCCAACGAAAAACCAAACAAUAAGAAUCAAUGAAUCAAUUAUAAGAAAAGAACUUCCAAAUAAAAGAAAACUAAGAAAAGAAGAAUACGUUCUUAAAACUCAAAACCCAAAAAAUACAUCUAAAGAUUCUGAAAAUGGUUGGCUUCUCCGAACAUAUCCGUUGCAAACUUUUGCCGGAUAUCACUGAUGUUUUCAUCUGACAGUCCAACAUUCAUAUCUAUGUCUAAGGCAAGACACUCGAUAUACUUCAUAGCAUAUACUCCACAAUCACCCGUUUGAGUGUUCUGUGGAAUUCUUCUACAUCUUGAUACUGUGUACUCAUCAGUACUUAAUCCGUAUUGGUCAGCUGGUGAAGCCAAUGAUUUGAGAAGAUAUGGAAGCAUAUGUGCAUAUGGCCUCACCAACUCUGUUAUCUCAUCAUCGCUAGUUAGCGAAAUGAUACUGUCGUACACUUCAAUAUGCUGGUGAGGAAUUGAGAUAGCCAAAGCAAUCCAAUGAACACUUUUAAUGUUUAGCACAAGGUAGACAUCAUCGACAUCAACGCCAAGUCUCUUAUUUGUACUUUCACACCUUGGUAAAACACCUUUAUAGUAAUCAAUUAACUCACCGCUCCAGUCAAAGUUUCUCUGGUUUUGUGAGAACUUUGGGUAGACUUUUGAUAUCACUUUUCUUCAUUGUUUUUUUGUUCGGAUAUGUGUGAUCUAAUUCUGUCUUUCUUUUUCCAUCAAUUUCUUUCUGAAACUUGUACUCCAUCUCUAACAAAACCUAUGAAAAAGAAGAAAAGAAUUCAAAUAUGUGGUAAUUUUUAAUAACCAAAUCAUUCAUUGCAACUAAAAAACAAAAUAAAUAUAGGAAAGCAUCACAAAUCGAGAUACCGUAUUGCUGUGUUGUUCUUCUGCUCCCUUCUCUGUUUUUUUUUUCUUAGAAAAAGAAAGACGUCAACGACUUGUUUAUAUAACAAAUUGAAAAAAAAAAAAUUUUUAUCGAGAUAAAGUUGAAAUUUUUUUAAAGAUUUAUCCAAUUAAUUAAUGUGAUUAAUGAGAUAUCUUUAUCUCAAAUAAAAAUUCAAUCAUAAUAAUUAUUAUUUCGAGUUUUUCUUUUUAUUUAAAUAGAUAGUGUUAGUUAAAUUUUGGUCAAAACGACUUUAAACAUAAAUCAAAAGUGUAGUUUUUAAAAGAAAAAAAAAUGGUGUAUUUUACUAAUUCAGAAACUUAAAUAGUGUAUUUUGCUAAUUAUCCCUUAAAAUUUCUUGUAUAUUUUGAAAUUAACUAAAAGUAAACUAUAUUGCUUAUACUGAUAUUUCCGUUUCUUCACAGUAUGAUCUAUUGAUUUUUGCAACCCUCUAUAUUUGUAUUGUUGCACAGCUACUUAUAUUUCCCUUUCAUUACAAUGUGAUAUAAUAUUUCUUGUAAGUUUUGCAAUCCACUACAUAUCAUUUUUCCCAGAGUCAACUUAUCUUCGUGUUUGUAUAUUGAGUAUUACAUUUGUACUUUUACAAUUCUUUUUUUUUUUAUAAUCUUGAAGUGCUCUAGGAAUUAUAAUUAUUAUAUCAUGUUGGAUUUUUAAGAAUUUUGGUUUUUAUGAUAUUUUGUAAAAAAUUAGAGAGUGAUGUGUUUCUAGGGACAAAAGACGAAGACUUGAAAAAUCAACCCUGGUGUUUUUCCUUCUUGUCCCAUUAAAAAUCUCAGUUUUCUCUUCAAUCUUAUCAACUUCCUCAGAAUCCUCUUCACAUCGACCACAGGUUUCUUCAUCCAUCGACUUAUUGAAAUUUCUUGUAGUAUAAGUUAAACCAAAAUGUGUGGAAACUAUUCAACACAAAAGACUUUUCACUCUCUUCUUUCAACGUGAAUAACACUUCGUACGAAGGACUAAAUGGUGAGCCAAGCGAAGCUGAGUGGAAAUGGAGCACUGACUAUAUGUAUAUAAAGAGAUGGCAUGAAACCAAUUUAACCAUCACAAUUUCCAUUUGCUCGCUUCUUUUUCGCUAUUGAUUUUCAAGAAAGUUAAAAAUUAGCUUAAAGAAAAAACGAAAGGCUCUUGAAACUCAAUGAGUAUCAUUCAUAUUUCUCUUUCUUUUCUCCUCUUGUUCGUUUUUUAUUUUCAUGACGUGUUUGCGUCUCCUACUAGACACUUGUGUCGUCCGGAGCAAAGGGAUGCACUUCUCGAGUUCAAGAAUGAGUUUGAGAUUCGGAAGCCUUCUUUUCGGUGUUAUGUUAAUGGUCGCUGGGUAAACCCGUACCCGAAGACGGAGUCAUGGGCAAAUAAUACUGAUUGUUGUUAUUGGGAUGGUAUCAAGUGCGAUGCCAAAUCCGGGGAAGUGAUCGAGCUAGACCUCAGAUGCAGCUCUCUCUACGGCAAGUUUCGUUCCAAUACCAGUCUGUUUAGGCUUCGUAACUUUCGUUUUCUCACCACUCUAAACCUUUCACGGAAUGAGUUACAUGGUCAAAUCCCGUUUUCAAUUGGAAAUCUUUCUCUUCUUACUUCUCUCGACCUUUCUUCCAAUGGGUUUUCGGGUCAGAUUCCAUCUUCAAUUGGAAAUCUUUCUCUUCUUACUUCUCUCGACCUUUCUGAAAACGGGUUUUCGGGUCAGAUUCCAUCUUCAAUUGGAAAUCUUUCACUUCUUACCUCUCUUGAUCUUUCUUUCAAUCAGUUUUCGGGUCAGAUUCCAUCUUCAAUUGGAAAUCUAUCACUUCUUACCUCUCUCGACCUUUCUCUUAAUCAGUUUUCGGGUCAGAUUCCAUCUUCAAUUGGAAAUCUUUCCCUCUAUCUUAACAGACUCUCUGGUGAAAUCCCAGAUUCUUUUGCCAGUUUGAAAAAUUUGACGAGGUUAGAUGUUAGUUUCAAUAAGCUUAGUGGUAAUUUUCCAAUUUGGCUACUAAAUUUGACAGAGUUGUCGGAUUUAUCACUCGAUUCCAAUCAACUCACAGGAACGCUUCCCUCAAACAUUAGCUCACUCUCCAACUUGGUGAAUUUUUACGCAAGUGACAACGAUUUCGUUGGAACCAUUCCUUCUUCUCUCUUCACCAUUCCUUCUUUGAGAAUAAUUUAUUUGUCAGAUAACCAACUCAACGGCACUCUCGAGUUUGGGAAUAUAUCUUCACCAACAAAGCUAGUCGUGUUAAUGCUUGGCGGUAACAACUUGAGAGGGCCAAUCCCGAGAUCCAUUUCCAAAUUAGUCAACCUCUAUUACCUUGACCUUUCCAAUUGGAACACCCAAUUAGGCCCAAUUGACUUGAGUAUCUUCUCGCAUCUCAAGUCACUCCGAAUUCUUGACUUAUCCCAUUUGAACACCACCACUACGAUUGACUUGAAUGCCAUCUUAUCAUGUUCUCAGUUGCUGGAAACAUUGGAUCUCUCAGGCAACCAUGUUUCAGCCGAAAACAAGAGCUCAGUUUCAGAUCCUCCUUCGCAAAUGAUACGAGAAUUAAACUUGUCAGGCUGCGGUAUUACCGAAUUUCCAGAGAUCAUAAGAACCCAGCAGUCAAUGAGGAGUCUAGACAUUGCCAACAACAAAAUCAAAGGUCAAGUGCCUGGCUGGUUAUGGACUCUACCAAAUCUGACGUACGUGAAUCUUUCCAACAACACUUUCGUCAGUUUCGAAAGACCAACGAAACAUGGACUAUCCUCUGCCGUGGAGUACUUGUCUGGCUCCAGAAACAAUUUCACAGGAAAGAUUCCCUCCUUCAUAUGCGCGUUGGGCUCUCUAAGCGUUCUCGAUUUAUCUGAAAACAACUUCAAUGGUUCAAUCCCUCUUUGUAUGGAGAAUCUCAAGAGUAAUCUUUCGGUUCUAAACCUCCGUCAGAAUCAUCUUAUCGGAGGCCUUCCGGAGAAUGUAUUUGAAAGUCUAAGGUCCCUUGACGUUGGUCAUAACCAACUGGUGGGAAAGCUUCCAAGAUCUUUGAUCCAUUUCUCUGCCCUUGAAGUUCUUAAUGUGGAAAGAAACAGAUUCAACGACACCUUUCCGUUUUGGUUGAGUUCUCUACCAAAGCUACAAAUUCUUGUCUUACGCUCCAAUGCAUUCCAUGGACGGAUACAUCGAGCCUCCUUCCUUCAGUUAAAAAUCAUGGACAUCUCGCAUAAUUACUUCAACGGAGUUUUGCCAUCGGAUUACUUUGUGAACUGGAGUAAAUUGUCAUCACUUGGGACAGAAAAAGAUCGGUCGGAUGUAAACUACAUGGGAGAAGGUACCUAUUACGAAGAUUCAAUGGUUUUGAUGAAUAAAGGUGUAGCAUUAGAGCUGGUACGUAUCCUGAAAAUCUUCACAGCACUCGACUUCUCCGGAAAUAGAUUUGAAGGAGAAAUUCCAAGGUCCAUCGGCCUAUUGAGAGAGCUUCAUGUGCUCAACUUGUCAAACAAUGCUUUCACUGGCCACAUUCCAUCAUCUAUGGGUAACCUGACAGCUCUCGAGUCACUAGACGUUUCUCAAAACAAGCUUUCAGGAGCGAUCCCACAAGAGCUAGGGAAUCUCUCGUACCUUUCUUCCAUGAACUUUUCCCAUAACCAGCUUGUCGGUCUUGUACCUGGAGGCACUCAGUUCCGAACGCAGUCUUGCUCUUCCUUCGAAGACAACCCUGGACUUUUUGGCCCUUCUCUUGACGAAGUUUGCAAAGAUAUACACAAGACAUCAUCGCAAGAGAAUGAAACACCGGAGGAGGCAGAGGAAGAAGACGAAGAGGUGUUUAGUUGGAUUGCAGCUGCAAUAGGAUUUGGACCUGGCAUUGUAUUAGGAUUGACGAUUGGAUACAUAUUGGCCUUCUACAAACCGAGGUGGUUCACGAGUCCUUUUGGCCGAAACAAACACAGAAGCAGAAGCACCACAGCUCAUUAAGAGAGGUAAUCUUCUGAAUUUCAUAGAUUAAAGACUAUUGUAUAGUAUAAUGAAAUUUUCUGGGUUAAUGUAUAUUGUAUGUGAAAAUUAACGCUGUUUUUGUUUGUAUAGCGUUCUUAAACCCAAGAUGAAGAAUCUUUGAAAAACAGAAUGAAGCAACCAGACCAUAGGUAGAGAAGAAGCUUGGGGGAGAAGGCAACUCAUUUUAUCAAAGUCUAAAUAUCAGUGAUUGUUUUUGGUUUAGUUUGGUGUGUUUAUCAUAUACUCUGUUUUUAGCCAAUGUUUGUGUUUCUCUGUAAUUGAACAAUGAAAGAUUGUUUACAAAGCUCAAACUUAUUCUUAUUUAUUAGAUAAACAUGAUUUGAGAGAGGUAAUAAUGUUCUUGCUCCGACUAAAUCAAUUAUUCUUCUGCCAAAUGAAGAACUAAGAUUCAACACACAUCUCAGAACAUUGAUCCUUAUUCUCUUUUGGUAAUAUUAAUUAGCUGAGUAAAAUGAUAACUUACUUAGCUUAUUGACAGAUAUUUCACUUAGCAGAUAGAUAUAUUAGUUAGCUGCGAUCAAGAUCACCGACCAGUUAAAGCUAUAGAUAUACAGGCUUAAAACCCAAGCUUUGCCAUCAGAAUGAGAGAAAAAAAAUCAUCUCACAAAUCAUUCCACUUUCCAACUACUGAAACUCUUCAAUAGUCAAAUGACUCAAAUCUGAAUAAGAGAGUAUACAUACACACAUACUUAAGUCCUAAAUCUUGUUUAUAAAUGUAACAAAAAUAACCCAUCAUUUUUAACCAAAAACAUUGAACGAAGAAAUUACCCUAUGUUUAUCUGAUAUGAUUGUGAUGUAUCUGCCAUCACCAAGUCCUAAAUCUUGUUUAAGGUGAUUAACGAACCAUCCCCAGUUGAUGUCGUUUUCGAUCUCCACUACUGCCCACGCUAUAGGAACAAUUCUAUUAUCUCCAUCCCUUCCAACUGCAGCUAUCAAUAGGCCUUUAACAUCCCAUUUAAGGAAUGCACCAUCUAGUCCUAUGAUAGGUCUGCAAUGUGUUUUCCAAGUGACUCGUUGUGCUUCAAAACAGACAUAAAUACGAUCAAACCUUUGCUUGCUUCCGGGUGUUGGCCCUGGAAUAGUCUGAAUAUCCAUAAUGGUUCCUUUAUUAGUCUUAUGAAUCUCUGCUUCGUAAUCCCAGAUUCGAGCAAAAUGUGUUCCAUGGCCUGCUCGUCUUUGCCUAGUAAUUUUGGUCUAAAUUACUAGGCUAGGUCAGUAUCUAAUUUGGCUAGGUCAAUAUAAGUUCGGGUGUUUUUUGGCUUAUUACAAAGUUUGUAUUUUUUUUUGGCAAAAUCAUAUAAGUUUGGUAUUUAGAUGACCGAUUUCCCUACACACAUACUUAAGGGUCACGAUGACAAAAUCUUCGGUUUAACCAAUAAGAGUAUUCAUCAAAAGACAUCUUAUAAACCAAUGGAUUAUAUUUUAAAAACUUGGUGAAAACAAACAAGAAAUUUAUCAAUAAAAUACAAGAACACUGGGUCAAUAACUGCUUAAUUCUUUUUUUUUUUUAAAAAAACAAAAGGUAAAUGAUGCAAUUGAUAGUAUAAUCUACACUACUCUAUACUCCACUGUUUUACUUUUUUUAUUUUAAGUACACAACUUUUUGUUAUUUUUUAUUCUUGGGAGAUGUAUAUCCUAUAAACAAAACUGUGUUAAAUGGAAGGACUUGAUAGACACCAAAACCAGAAGAGAAACGAAAACAAACGGCUCAAACUUGACAGUAUAAAAUAUCUACUGUUAAAACAUCAUCCAAAAUUUAUAAAUUAACGAUUGAGAAAUAUUUUGAUAAAAAAUAUAAUUCGAUAAUAUUGAUCAGAUUACAGCAUCACAAAGUCAGUGAACAAAUCAUAUAAAACAAACUUGAAUAAAGAAAAUUGUAUCAUGCCAAUUGCCAAAAGAAACCAAACAAAUAAAUAGAUAACAGAAAGUAGAAACAUUGACUGACCGAUUACUAAGUUCUGGACAAAAGACGAAGACUUGAAAAGUCAACUUCAGUCUUCUUCCUUAUUGUCCCACCAAUAAUUUUACUUUUUCUCCUUCAAUCUCAUCUUCUUCCUCAAUCCUCUGAACAUCGACCACAUGUUUCUUCAUCCAUUGACCUCAAAUACUUGAUUUUCACUAUCGACUCUCUUUCUUUCUCUCUCUCUCUAGAUUUUCCGUCAAAGCUAUGGAGAAACUCUGUCUUCGAAACUCUGUUUCUCUCAUGACGAUGGUGGUUAUUGUUCUUCUUCCUCGUUGCACUCUUUCUACUACUUCUACAUAUUCUCGUCCCGAGAAGUUGUACGUCAACUGUGGGUCGGAUUCUAAUGUCACUUACGGUAACCGGACUUUUGUCGGAGAUAUGAUCUCUGGUGGUAACUCCGUUUCAUUCACCAAGAAAGGAACUGAAGCCAUCAACCAAUCAGGAUCAGGAAUCUACGAAAUGGUUAGGAUAUUCACAAGCCCUUCUUCUUACAAGUUCCAACUCGAUUCCGUUGGUCUGCACUUCGUGCGUCUCCAUUUCUCUGCUGUCUCUUCUCGGACACAGCUUUUAGCUGCUCGUUUCACAAUCUCAGCUACUUCUCACUUGAAAAGUUUCUCGCUUCAGAAUUUCAAUGAGACCCCACGAGUUGAGGAGUUUCUCCUGAUGAUUGACUCGCCGGAAUUCGAAAUUCGAUUUGUGCCCGAUCAUUCAUCCAUGGCUUUCGUCAACGCCAUCGAAGUGUUCUCUGCUCCAGAUGACCUAGAAAUUCCGUCAGACUCCGACAAGAAUCUGCAUACGGUUUACAGAUUAAACGUAGGAGGCAAGAAGAUCACACCAGAAAACGACACCUUGGGAAGAACUUGGUCAUUAGACGAUGACUUCCUCUACGAAAAAGAUUCUGCGAGGAACAUUAACUCAACACAAAAGCCUAACUAUGAGUCAGGAACAGUGACGCAAUUCACUGCUCCUGAUUUCGUCUAUCAGACAGCUAAAACGAUGAACCAUAGCUCGAACGAGGGGGUGGUAGAGGGAAUGUUGAUGAACGUCACUUGGUCAUUUAAGGUCAAAAGCAGCUCAAGACACUUCAUCAGGGUUCACUUCUGUGAUAUCAAGAGUGAAUCACAAAAUCCCGACUCCGAUUUCUAUCUCUAUGUAAACGGACAAUCACGACUAGAUGUAAAGCCUUCAGAGCGUNNNNNNNNNNNNNNNNNNNNNNNNNNNNNNNNNNNNNNNNNNNNNNNNNNNNNNNNNNNNNNNNNNNNNNNNNNNNNNNNNNNNNNNNNNNNNNNNNNNNAUAUAAAUCAUAAAUAUUAUUUAUUUAAAAUUCUACUUGAAAAGCCUUUAAAUAAAGUAACUUAAACUUGUAUAAGUAGUAUAUUUUAUAUAUAUAAAAAAUAAAUUUGUAACUAAAAAAGUGAUAAUAGAGAUUUUAAUAUUAUGGUGGUUUAUUUUUGUUGUUAAUGGAGAUUUUUUAUUUUUAACCAUAAUAUUAGGAUUUGGAAACUUUUUUGAAUUUUUAAAUGUUGAUAUGGAUGCCUUAAAAAUAAUAUGGCUAAACUGUUAUUAAUAAUAGAAUAGUUUAAAUUACAAAUUUUCCUAUAUUGUUUUGUAUUACCAAUGUAAUUUUAUAAUUUAAAAACUUUUUAAAUUUUAAUUAUUGAUGUAGACUAAAAACAUUGACCUUUUACAUGUUAUGUGGAUGUCUUUGGAAGCAUAUAGCUUCAGCUUUUAUUUUUCUAUAAAUAUUUUUUUUGUUAACAAUACAGUUUUAAAAUUUGAAAAUUUUCUAAAUUUUAGAUAUUGAUAUAAACCAAUAGAAUUGAAAUUUUAAAUCCUAUGUGGACACUCUUAGAGGUAUAUAGCUUCAGGUUUUAUUUGUAAUAUAUUUAGAUAUUAACACUGGAAGAUCCCACACGAGGCCCAUUGCGGUAAGUGAUUUUGGUUUCUCCUCUAUGUUUUGAGGCUUACGGAAUGUAUUCUGAUACUGUUUGAUUCAGCUAAUUGUUACCUUUGUGGUUCAGGUUGGAUUGCUAAACCCUUGUCAGACACCAUGUUAUUCCAAAGAUUUUCCUCGGAUACCUCAGUCUCUUCGCCUUAAUGCAGAACUUCUUUCUCUAUUUCUAGUGGUUCGUUUUUCAAAAAUUUUGGGUAUCAAUCACUUGACAUGUUUCUCGGAUUACUUGAAAUUUAUCAUUCUUCUCAAAUCUGGUGGCAAAACUUUAGAGAUUUUACAGUCUCUUUUUCAAUAUUAAAACAGCUUGUAGUGUCUUUGUUUUCAUCAUAAUCAUUUUAAUUUAGCUAAUAGUUAAACAUAUAGUUUAGUCAAGUUGGUUCUUAAUUUUACAUUGUAAUGAUUCAUUCUUUAGUGAAACCUAUCUCUAUUUUUUUGCUUUUUUAAUUGAAAUGGUUGUACAUACAUAAAAAAAACUUAAAAUUUAUUAUAGUUAUGUGAAAAAAAUUUGGAUGCUAAUGUAGGAGUAUGUAAAUAAAUUUAAAUAUUUUAUUUGUUCUUAAUUAUUUAUAUAAUUGAAACAUCUAACUUAAAUUUAAAUUUUCCUAUUUUAAAAUAUUUAUUUUAUUUUUAUUAUUAUUAAUAUAAAUUAUAUAUAUAAUUUAUUCAUCUUUAAUAAAAUUUUAAAACAAUAAUAGAAUUUAGAAACUUUUUUUAUUUUUAAUGUUGAGGUGGACCAAUAAAAAAUUUAUACAAAAUUUCUUUAUUAAACAAUAAUAUUAGAAUUUGUAAACUUUCUUAAUUUUUUUAUUUAACACUAAUAUUAAAAUUUGGAAAUUUUCUUAAUUUUGAAUGAUGAUGUGGACCAAUAAAAUUCUUAAUUUCCUUAUUUAAUAAUAAUAUUAAAAUUUGUAAAUUUUCCUAAUUUUGAAUGAUAAUGUGGGCCAAUAAAAUUGUAUUUUUUAAUCCUAUGUGAACGCCUUGAAAAGCUUAUAGCUUCAUGUUUUAUUAGUAUAAGAUUAUAUGCAAAUCUUAUAUUUUGCGUCCAUGCUAUGCGUGGAUAUUUGGUCGAUAAAAAUUAUAUUUAUCAAUAUAAAAAUUUUCUAUAUUAAUGUUUUAAUUAUAUAUUUAAAAUAUUAUAAUGUUAAUCUAAUAAUUUUUAUGUAAAUUAUAAGGUUUUAACGGUUUUUUUAAUCUAUAUAUAAUAUGUUAUAUUUCAAAAACGUAUUAUUUGGUCAAACACUUAUAAGUAAAAUUUUACAAAUUAAUCAAAUGCUAAUUUUAAAUAUAGUAUUGACAUGAUGAUAAAAUAUUAUACAUUCACUUUUUUAAAUCAUGAAGAUAUUUUUUUUUAUCAUUUUCACUUUUAUUUCAAUUAUAUAUGUGUUUUUUAAAAACAAUAAAAAUAAUUAUAUUUAAUUUUUUUUCCUUCUCUUGUAAUUAACUAAUAAAUAAAAUAUUUGCUUUUGAGGUUAAUAAUAACUAUAAACUUGAAAUCAAAACAGCAUAUGAAUAUAAAAUGAAUAAAAUCACUAAAAAUUUUUGAAUUAAAUAUAUUUUUGAUAAUUGGUUGUGUAAAAUUUUAAAUAAUUUUUUAAUUAUUAUUCCUCAUCUCUUCUAAUGAGAAUGAAAAAAAAUUUCAUCAUGUUCAUUUUUAUUUUUGUUAUAUCUGUUUUUUUAUGAAUAUGUCAUAUUUGUAUAUUUUAAUGAUUUGUGUAUGACUAUAUUCAGUUUCAUCAUAUUCAUUUUUACUUCUUUGAAUUAUAAUUAAGUAGGCAAAAUCGGUAUAAUUAAAUACAUUUAAUUUUUUAAAAAAAAAAAAAAUUGAACAACUCAAAACAAAGAGUUUCUACAUUAAUCUAUUGCAAUUCCAAGUCGAAUUUUUUUUAAAAAAAGAAAAUUUUGAUUAUUUUUCAGUAAUAUAUUACAUAAUAUUAUGUGAAUAUAUGUAUUGCAUAUGUUAAAACAUUUAUAUGAAUAUAAAUUAUAAUUAUUAGUUAUUUAAAAUUCAAUGUGAAAACCCUUAAAAUCAAGUAACUAAACUUGUAUAAGUAGCAUAUAUUUGUUUUGUAGAUGAUAAAUUAUAUUUGUAACUUAAACAGUGUUAAUGGAGAUUUUAAUAUCAUUUUGGUUUUUUGUGUUGUUAACAGAGAUUUCUUUAUUUUUUAAUUUAUUUUUUAACUAUAAUAUUAGAAUUAAGAGUUUUUUAAUUUACAUUUUUGUUAUAUACAAAUAAAAUUGAUAAUAGAAUAAUAUAACUUUAACUAUUAUUAAUAAUAGAAUAAUUUUAACUAACACUUUUACCUAAAUUGUUUUGUAUUAACAAUAUAAUUUUAUAAUUUAGAAUUUUUUUAAAACUUUAGUUAUUAAUGUAGACUAAUAAAAUUGACCUUUUAAAUCUUAUGUGUAUGUCCUUACAGGCAUAUAGCUUCAAAUUUUAUUUUUCUAUAAAUAUAUUUUUUUGUUAACAAUAUAAUUUUAAAAUUUAGAAAUUUUUUUAAAUUUAAAUAUUAAUAUGGACUAAUAAAAUUAAACUUUUAAAUCAUAUAUGGAUAUUCUUAGAGAAAUAUAGCUUUAAAUUUUAUUAAUAAUAGAUUUAGGAAUCAAACAUGGAGGAUGCCACACAAGGCUCGUUGCGGUAAUUGAUUUUGAUAUUUUCUCCUUGUUUUGAGGUUUACCGAAUGUAUUUGGAUGAUGUUUGGUCAGCUAAUUGUUACUUUUAUGGUUAAAAUUAGAUUUUUAAAAUCCUAUAAAAUGCCAUGUUAUUUUAAAAAAAAUUUUCGGAUAUCUUAGUCUCAUUCGUCUUAAUGACAAAACUUCUUUCUCUAUUUUCAGUGUUUUGUUUUUCAAAAGUAUCGAGUAUCAAUCACUUGACAUGUUUCUUGGAUUGGUUGGAAUUUAUCAUUCUUCUCAAAUUUGAUGGCUAAGCUUUAGAGAUUUUAUGAUCUUUUUUUCAAUAUUAAAGCGGCUUGUAGUGACUUUGUUUAUAUCUUCUUUCAUUAUAUUCUUUGUAAUUUAGCUAAUAGUUAAAAAUAUAAUUUAGUCAAGUUGAUUGUAUUUUUUUGUUUUUGUUAAUUUGAAAUAGUUGCACACAUAGAAAAAUUGGACGCUAAUGUAAGAGUCUCUAAAUAUGUAUGUAUAAAUCUAAUUUAAAUUUAUAUUUUCAUAGUUUAAUAUUAUUAUUUUAGUUUUUAUUAAUAUAAAUUUUAUAUAUGAUUUAUUUAUCUUUAAUAAUUUUUAAAAACAAUAAUAAAAUUUAGAAACAUUUAAAUUUUCAAUAUUGAGGUGGACCAAUAAAAAUUUUAUACAAAAAUUUCCUUAUCCAUCAAUAGUAUUAAAAUUUGUAAACUUUCCUAAUUUUCUUAUUCAGCAAUAAUUUUAUAACUUGUAAAUUUUCCUUAAUUUUGAAUGUUGAUGUGGACCAAUAAAAUUACUCUUUUAAAUCCUAUGUAAAAACCCUUAGAGCAUGGCAGUUUUACACAGGUUCUAAGGUGGGGUUUAUAAGUUUUUUGGAUUUUAAAAAAAUGAAAAAAGCCCAAUAUCUCGUGAACCGGUUCUUGUUUUAGAGUUUUUGGAGACUGUAUUUAGAAGGGUUCAUAAGUGACGUGUCUGCUUCUCAUUCGUUCAACAAGAAAUUUUUUUACGCUCUCUCUCCUCUUCCACUUUCUCUGGUUUUUCGUUUAUGUCGACAUUUAUUUCUCCUCUUCCAACCACGAUUUUUUCUCUGGUGAUUUCAGAUCAUGGGCUAAAAAAAUGAAAGCUUUGCAUGAACCCACUUGAAAAAGAGCUGGGAUUUUCAUUGGAAUCAAAGCAUCACUCUUUCCUCGAUCAUUGUUACAAAUCGAACAGACGGUAAUGCCGGAGGCUCAAUUCCGAGAUAAAUUUGAUCACGUCGAUUUCUUUCUGGUUUGUUACGUGUUUGAACUGCCAAACCAAUUCAUUCAUUAUAUAAAAUCAAAACCGAGAACAUCAUACUUGAGAUCACUGUUCUUCUUUUGCUUCAUAGUUUGUGAAGGAAAAUUAAACAAAAAAAAUUUUAGAUUUCAUCAAACCCAGUUUAAGAACCUCUAAUGAUGUUCACCAUUGGAGGAAUAAAAAACUUUGGAGUUCUAAACCAUUCUUUAAUCAAAAAUAAAUUAUUAAAAAAUAGCUAUGAACCCCAAGAGGAGGUUCACCAUUACUGGUGCUCUUAGAAACAUAUAGCUUCAACUUUUAUUAGUAUAAGAUGUUUUCUCAUUUUUUUAUUUUAAAAUAUAUCUACUGAUCUACAUAUUUGAUUUACUAAGGUUAUUUUCUUAUAACGUAUCUCGGACUUGGAAAAUAUCAUGAAUGUGAAUUCAAAACAUUGAUUUGACAAACUUUUUCUCUCUCGAAGCUCUUUCGCGUGCUUCCGUCUUGGUGGUCUUCUCCGGUUAUGGCGCUCAUCGCUGGACUGUGAGAAGGCCACCCCAAGGUUAGUUUUGUAAUUCGCGCCCAUCAUCGACGGAAGAGGUUCAUCGGCGGUGGAUUUGGAGGCGACCUAUUCUUCUCUGCAGUACUGUGGCAUGGAAAACCAGCGCGACGAGCGGCUGCGGAAGCUUGGUGGCCUUGACAAAGUGGUGUUGUGGAGUCUCAGUGAUUUGUCUCUGAUCAAGGGCGGCGGAGUGUUUCAUUGGAGAUCUUGCCGCAGUUCUAUCGAGGCUUAGAGAGGCAACUUGUUUUCGCUAGUUUGGUGGGUUGGGCCGUUUGUCGGGGACAGUUCUCCUGGUCGACGGUUGGAUCUACCUAAGGAUGGCGGUUCCUCUCGGUGGUGUUGUCAACUUGUCGGAGUCGGAUACUGUUCCUUACCGGAUUGAAGAUGGUGGUUCACGUGGUAAAAAAGAGGAGAUGUGCAUCGCGCGGCGGUGUUGGUUUCGAAGGAAGAGAAAAUCUGUGUGUCGGUUACUGGAUCUGGUGGUAGUCGACGAUUUGGCCGUGGGUUAUUCCAUGCUUUUGGUCAUGUCACUCCGGGAGUAGGAGUAUUCGGAAUCUUGCUGUGAACGGAUCUGGUUUCCGAAAUUGGACAACCUAGUUUCCAGUUCCUUAAAGGCGACGAUAGCUCUGCGCCGUUCUCGCAUACGCUGGAGGAAGAUAUGCAUGGGCUCGAGCUACUUUUCCCAAUCACAGAUUUAAUCUUAACCUAGUCCAUACGCUUUACCUUAGCCUAUUUCCAAGUCUUUUUUCAUUUUUUUGUUCAGGUUUACCACCGGCGGAGAUGUACUGUUCCGAUACCCUUUUAGGAAUUUUAUUAAUAAAAAUAUAUAUUUUUUUAAAAACAUUCAUUUUGACACGUUUCGACAUUUCAUAGUUUAUAAAACUGUCACAUACUCACAUGGUUUUUGUGAUAUGCUUACAACUAAUAAAUGUCUUUGGUACAAUUGUUUUUCAAUUUUUAGUUCUACCAAUUUUUAUUAUUUUUACGAUAAAAGUUAUCAUUUUAAAAAUAUGUUGAUUGUCACUAGUUCAGUGUUUUAUAUGGGAAAAUGGUCAAAAUUAAUCGAACUAAAUUUGAUGUGUCGAAAAAAAUCCGAACUAAAAUACGGUGCUAAUAACUAUCUAAACUCUAAAUAAUUCAAAUUUCCUAUCUGAAUUCUAAUAUAUGUGUCAAAAUCUAUCUUGACUAACUUUGACAUUAGUAACUGUUAAAAAAUGCUAACGAGGCAUGCUGACGUUGUCAUUUUAAUAAAACGAUAUUUUUUUUGUUGUAAAAAAAAUCAAAAACUUAUCCUCUUACCAGAACUUGACUUUUUAAUUUGUAGUUAAAUGUGUGGACCAGUUGAACCGUGAAACAAUAUUAAUACUUUUUACAAACAUAUUUAUAUAUUAUUGAUAUGCUGCAACAUUACAAUCAUGAGACCUAAAGAGAACAAGUAACAUCCCGUGGAUUAUCAAAGCCAUUACAAAAAGUAACCUGUUUGCUCUAUCGAGAUCUAAAGAGAACGAAUUCUCACCCAAAAUCGAUUUUCUCCUUUUGUUAAGCUUCUUCAAUCUCGUUUUUCUUCUACGGUUUUUUGGUUUUCUCUGCCAGAAUUGGUAGAGAGAGAAUGGAGAAGACGAAGUUGUUGCUGCUGCAAUUCUCCGAACUCAACAUCGAACACAGUUCCCGAUUAAUUGCAGCCUCUCAAUGCUCCAACAAUGGAAUUCGAUGAAGAAGAAGAACUCUCUAACCCUAAUUCGAUUUUGAGGGUGUAUUUUAUCCCCAAUUUAAUAUGUGGUCGUUUCGUUAAUUUUUUUUUUCGAGUUUAGACAUAUAUAUCAAUAACAUAUAAAUGUAUUUGUAAAGAAAAUCAAUAAUAUCUCACGGUUCAGUUGGUCAUUGCUUAAAUGGGGUUUACAAUGGCGCAGAUUGAAGUCCAAGGAAUAGAAAAAAUUUAGAUUUUUUUUAACAACGAAAACGACGUCGUUUUAGUAAGGUGACAACGUGUCAUGCCAAGUCAUAUUCUAUCAUGCCUCGUCAACGUUUUUUAACAGUUGAUUAACGUCAAAGUUAGUCAAAGUAGAUUUUAACACAUAUAUUGGAGUUCGAAUAGGAAAUUUGAAUUAAUUUGGAGUUCAGAUAGUUAUUAGCACCGUAUUUUAGUUUAGAUUUUUUUUAGCAAAUUUAGUUCGGGUUGGUUUUGGCCAUUUUCCCAUGUUUUAUAUAUAUAAGAUUUUAUUGGUUCAUGUGUUUCAAAUAAUAUCGAUCUCCAAUCAAAAUCUUGUUCAUUGGAUUAUCGAUGUAAGAAUUAUCGUCAAUAUCUUAUAUUAUUAGUUUAACAACUUAUAUGUACUUGUUGAAAUCUGGUGUCUUUAAUUCAACACAUCGACAACACCAAGAAAAACAAAAAAAUUGUAAUAUCUAAUGGAUCACUUUUUCCUCAUAAUUUUAUCUUUCUUGGUCUUCUCCAUCCUUUCUCUAAAACGUUUGAUCGGUAGAUGGCGGAACAAGUUUAACUUACCUCCAACUCCAGCUUGGUCACUGCCGGUGAUUGGUGAUUGGUGUAGAAAGUAAAUUUUGAGGAGAUAAAUAUUGCAAUAUAAGAAAACAAAUUGAGACAUAGAAAAACAUUUUAUAAAAGCGGAUUAAGGAAAAAUGAGAAAUGGAGGCGAGAUGAUCUCUUUCCUUAAUUCAAAAUAUCUCCCGCAGUGUGGCGGUUAGAUGAGAUAAUGAAUCCCAUGAUACAACCACUGAUAUUCGUAUAAUCGCAGCACCCGAUUAUUGAUAACACCGGAUUUUGACUAUUUUUAUGGAUCAUUUUAAUAUCUUUUACAGGUGUUUUUACUCCAUUUUCAAAGGUUUUCAAAGGAUUUCUAUAUUUUCGGAUUUUAAAAGACUUUUCAGGUAAUGUGGGAUAAAGAGGCACAAAAUAGAACAAAAAGACUCUUUUGGAUAAAUGCAGACCGUCAGAACUUUCAUGGAGAGACGAAGACCUUCUCACCGUCUGAUCACCCUCAAAAUUGGACAACUUAUAGAAGAAUCAACCAGCUUUCAAAUGCACUUAGUUUGGAGACAUUACAACGGUUGGAUCUCAAGAUAUUCCAUUAGCCCCGGAGCCACGCGGAGUCGGCCAGCAACUCACGCGACCGCGGCCAACAAGCUAUUUGCCGCGGUCAGAAGCUUCCCGAUCGCAGCCAACAAGCCAAUUGCCGCGGUCACAACACUCCCGACCGCGGCAUUCAACCUCCGACUUAAAGCCCACUUAUCUGAAGCCCAAAGUCAUUCCCAGCCUCAAUUCCGGAACCCUAGAGACCAUGGAGUAUUGGAGACUAUAAAUACAUGUCAUUUAGGUCGUUUUUAGAGAGAACCCUAGAUACUUUACAGAAACCCUUUUCUUUUAGCCGUUUUUAUGAGAUUUUUGUAGAAGAUUUUUCAAGUCCGAGUUCUUCAAUAGAGAAGCUUUCUUUAUCUCUUUUCUUUACUGUUUUUCAUUACUUUUAUUAAAACCAAUGAUGAUGUCGAACUCAGCCAUGUCUGAGUAGAUCCCGAGUUGGGCUUAGGGUUCCCGAAAGGGGCUCUCAUAAUCGAUUAAAAAAUUAGAGAUUGAUGUGUUUCUAGGGACAAAAGACGAUGACUUGAAAAAUCAACCCUGGUCUUUUCCCUUAUUGUCCCAUUAGAAAUCUCAGUUUUCUCUUCAAUCUUAUCUUCUUCCUCAGAAUCCUCUUCACAUCGACCACAGGUGUCUUCAUCCAUCGACUUAUUGAAAUUUCUUCUAGUAUAAGUUAAACCAAAAUGUGUGGAAACUGACUAUUCAACACAAAAGACUUUUCACUCUCUUCGUUCAACGUGAAUAACACUUCGUAGCAAAUGACUAGAUGGUGAGCCAAGCGAAGCUGAGUGGAAAUGGAGCACUGACUAUAUGUAUAUAAAGAGAUGGCAUGAAACCAAUUUAACCAUCACAAUUUCCAUUUGGUCGCUUCUUUUUCACUAUUGAUUUUCAAGAAAGUUAAAAAUUAGCUUAAAGAAAUAACGAAAGGCUCUUGAAACUCAAUGAGUACCAUUCAUAUUUCUCUUUCUUUUCUCCUCUUGUUCGUUUUUUAUUUUCAUGACGUGUUUGCGUCUCCUACUAGACACUUGUGUCGUCCAGAACAAAGGGAUGCACUUCUCGAGUUCAAGAAUGAGUUUGAGAUUCGGAAGCUUUCUUUUUUUCAGUGUUAUGUUAAUGGUAGCGUUGUUAUUGGAAUGGUAUCAAGUGCGAUGCCAAAUCUGGGGAAGUGAUCGAGCUAGACCUCAGUUGCAGCUGUCUCUACGGCAAGUUGCGUUCCAAUACCUCUGUUUAGGCUUCACAGCUUUUGUUUUCUCACCACUUUAUACCUUUCAUAUUAGGUCCCCAAAUCCCGUUCUCAAUUGGAAAUCUUUCUCUUCUCACUUCUCUCGACCUUUCUGAAUAUGGGUUUUCGGGUCAGAUUCCAUCUUCAAUUGGAAAUCUUUCACAGCUCACCUCGCUUGAACUUUCUUCCAAUCAGUUUUCGGGUCAGAUUCCAUCUUCAAUUGGAAAUCUUUCACAGAUCACCACUCUCCGUUUUUCCUUUAAUCAGUUUUCGGGUCAGAUUCCGUCUUCAAUUAAAAAGCUCUCUCAUCUCGAAACUCUUGACCUCAGUCAUAACAGACUCACUGGUGAAAUCCCAGAUUCUUUUGCCAGUUUGAAAAAUUUGACCGAGUUAAAUGUUAGUUUCAAUAAGCUUAGUGGUAAUUUUCCAAUUUCACUUCUAAAUUCGAUCAACUCACAGGAACGCUUCCUCCAAACAUUAGCUCACUCUCCAACUUGGAGUGGUUUUAUGCAUAUGACAACGAUAUAGUUGGAACCAUUCCUUCUUCUCUCUUCACCAUUCCUUCUUUGACACAAAUUGAUUUGUCAAAUAACCAACUGAACGGCAUUCAUGAGUUUGGGAAUAUACCUUCACCAACAAAGCUAGUGAGGUUAGAGCUUGGCGGUAACAACUUGAGAGGGCCAAUCCCGAGAUCCAUUUCCAAAUUAGUCAACCUCUAUUACCUUGACCUUUCCAAUUGGAACACCCAAUUAGGCCCAAUUGACUUGAGUAUCUUCUCGCAUCUCAAGUCACUCCGAUUUCUUGGCUUAUCCCAUUUGAACACCACCACUACGAUUGACUUGAAUGCCAUCUUAUCAUUUUUCCAGUCGCUUGGAUCAUUGGAUCUCUCAGGGAAUCAUGUUUCAGCCGAAAACAAGAGCUCAGUUUCAGAUCCUCCUUCGCAAAUGAUUAGUUCUUUAAACUUGUCAGGCUGCGGUAUUACCGAAUUUCCAGAGAUCAUAAGAACCCAACAGUCUAUGAGAUUUCUAGACAUUUCCAACAACAAAAUCAAAGGUCAAGUGCCUGGCUGGUUAUGGACGCUACCAGAUCUGGAGUACGUGGAUCUUUCCAACAACACUUUCGUCAGUUUCGAAAGACCAACGAAACAUGGACUAUCCUCUGCCUUUAUGUACUUGUUUGGCUCCAAAAACAAGUCUAAGGUCCCUUGACGUUGGUCAUAACCAACUGGUGGGAAAGCUUCCAAGAUCUUUGAUCCAUUUCUCUGCCCUUGAAGUUCUUAAUGUGGAAAGAAACAGAAUCAACGACACGUUUCCGUUCUGGUUGAGUUCUCUACAAAACCUGCAAGUUCUUGUCUUACGCUCCAAUGCAUUCCAUGGACCGAUUCAUCGAGCCUCCUUCCUUCAGCUCCUUCCUUCGCAUAAUCACUUCAACGGAACUUUGCCAUCGGACUAUUUUGUGAGCUGGAGUAAAAUGUCAUCACUUGGGACAGAGGAAGGUCGCUCAGAUCUAUACUACAUGGGAAAUGCAUAUUACGAAGAUUCAAUGGUCUUGAUGAAUAAAGGUGUACCAUUAGAGCUGGUACGUAUCCUUGAAAUCUACACAGCACUCGACUUCUCCGGAAACAGGCUUGAAGGAGAGAUUCCAAGCACCAUCGGCCUAUUGAAAGAGCUUCAUGUGCUCAACUUGUCAAACAAUGCUUUCACUGGCCACAUUCCAUCAUCUAUGGGUAACCUGACAGCUCUCGAGUCACUUGACGUUUCUCAAAACAAGCUUUCAGGAGUGAUCCCACAAGAGCUAGGGAAUCUCUCGUACCUUGAAGUCAUGAACUUCUCCCAUAACGCAGCCUUGCUCUUCCUUCGAAGACAACCCUGGACUUUUUGGCCCUUCUCUUGACGAAGUUUGCAAAGAUAUACACAAGACAUCAUCGCAAGAGAAUGAAACACCGGAGGAGGCAGAGGAAGAAGACGAAGAGGUGUUUAGUUGGAUUGCAGCUGCAAUAGGAUUUGGACCAGGCAUUGUAUUAGGACUGACGAUUGGAUACAUAUUGGCCUUCUACAAACCGAGGUGGUUCACGAGUCCUUUUGGCCGAAACAAACACAGAAGCAGAAGCACCACAGCUCAUUAAGAGAGGUAAUCUUCUGAAUUUCAUAGAUUAAAGACUAUGUAUAAUAUAACGAAAGUUUCUGGGUUAAUGUAUACUGUAUGUGAAAAUUAACUUUUUACGCCGUUUUUGUUUGUAUAGCGUUCUUAAACCCAAGAUGAAGAAUCUUUGAAAAACAGAAUGAAGCAACCAGACCAUAAGUAGAGAAGAAGCUUGGGGGAGAAGGCAACUCAUUUUAUCAAAGUCUAAAUAUCAGUGAUCGUUUCCGGUUUAGUUUGGUGUGUUUAUCAUAUACUCUGUUUUUAGCCAAUGUUUGUGUUUCUCUGUAAUUGAACAAUGAAAGAAUGUUUACAAAGCUCAAACUUAUUCCCAUUUCUCUGUGAUUGGACAUGAUUUGAGAGAGGUAAUAAUGUUCUUGCUCCGAAUAAAUCAAUCAUUCUUCUGCCAAAUGAAGAACUAAGAUUCAACACACAUCUCAGAAAAUUGAUCCUUUUUCUCUUUUGGUAAUAUUAAUUAGCUGAGUAAAAUGAUAACUUAAUUAGUUUAUUGAAAGAUAUUUCACUGAGAAAUAUAUUAGUUAGUGGCGAUCAGGAUCAGCGACCAAUUAAAGCUAUAGAUAUAGUUGCUUAAAACCCAAGCUUUGCCAUUACAAUGAGGAAAAAUCAUCUCACAAAUCAUUCCACUUUCCAACUAAUGAAACUCUACAAUAGUCAAAUGACUCAAAUCGGAAUUAGAAAGUAUACAUACACACAUAAUUUAAGGUCACAAUGACAAAAUCUUCGGUCUUACCAAUAAGAGUAUAAGUAUUCAUCAAAAGACAUCUUCUAAAAUGGAUUAUAUUAAAAAAAUUUGGUGAAAACAAACAAGAAAUUUUUACUGCUUAAUUCUUUUUGUUUUUAAAAACCAAAAGGUAAAUGGAAGUCGCUCUAAUUUUUACUUAUAAACCAAAACAAGAAAUUUUCAGUUAUAUCGUUCUAAGAUAAUGCAAUUGAUAGUAUAAUCUAUACUACUCUAUACUCCACUGAUACUUUUUCGUUUUUAAGCAGACAACUUUUCAGAGUACAAAUCUUUUGUUAUUUUUAUUCCUGGGAGAUGUAUAUCCUAUAAACAAAACUGUGUUAAAUGGAAGGACUUCAUGGACACCAAAACCAGAGGAGAAACGAAGACAGACGGUUUAGAAAUAUUUUGAUCACAUCAAAAAAAUAUAAUUCGAUAAUUUUUAUCAGAUUACAGCAUCACAAAGUCAGUGCAAAAUCAUAUAAAAAAAAUUCGAAUAAAGAAAAAACGUAUCAUGCCAAACGAAACCAAACAAAUAAAUAGAUAACAGUUGACUGACCGAGUCAGUCAUGGACAAAAACGAAGACUUGAAAAGUCAACUCCGGUCUUCUUCCUUAUUGUCCCACCAAUAAUUUACUUUUUUUCCUUCAAUCUCAUCUUCUUCCUCAAUCCUCUCAACAUCGAUCACAUAUUUCUUCAUCCAUUGACCUCAAAAACUUGAUUUUCACUAUUGACUCUCUUUCUUUCUCUCUCUCUCUAGAUUUUCCAACAAAGCUAUGGAGAAACUCUGUUUUCGAAACUCAUUUUCUCGCUUUAUGACGACUGUGGUCAUUGUUCUUCUUCCUCGUUGCACUCUUUCUGCUACUUCUACAUAUUCUCAUCGUCCCGAGAAGUUUUACGUCAACUGUGGGUCGGAUUCUAUUGUCACUUAUGGUGGUCGGACCUUCGUCGGAGAUAUGAUCUCCGGUGGUAACUCCGUUUCUUUCAACAGUAAAGGAACUGAAGCCAUCAACCAAUCAGGAUCAGGAAUCUAUGAAACGGUUAGGAUAUUCAGACGCCCUUCUUCUUACAAGUUCCAACUCGAUUCCAUUGGUCUGCACUUCGUGCGUCUCCAUUUCUCUGCUGUCUCUUCUCGGACAGAGCUUUUAACUGCUCGUUUCACAGUCUCAGCUACUUCUCACCUGAAAAGUUUCUCGCUUCAGAAUUUCAAUGAGACCCCACGAGUUGAGGAGUUUCUCCUGAUGAUUGACUCGCCAGAAUUCGAAAUUCGAUUUGUGCCCUAUCAUUCAUCCAUGGCUUUUGUCAACGCCAUCGAAGUGUUCUCUGCUCCUAAUGACCUCGAAAUUCCGUCAGACUCCGACAAGAAUCUGCAUACGGUUUACAGAUUAAACGUAGGAGGCAAGAAUAUCACACCAGAAAACGACACCUUGGGAAGAACUUGGUCAGUUGACGAGGACUUCCUCUACGAAAAAGAUUCUGCGAGGAACAUUAAUUCAACACAAAAGCCUAACUACGAGUCAGGGACAGCGACGCCAUUCACUGCUCCUGAUUUUGUCUAUCAGACAGCGAAAACGAUGAACCAUAGCUCGAAUGAGGGGAUGGCAGAUGGGAUGUUGAUGAACGUUACUUGGUCAUUUAAGGUCAAUAGCAACUCUAGACACUUCAUCAGGGUUCACUUCUGUGAUAUCAAGAGUGAAUCACAAAAUCCCGACUCCGAUUUCUAUCUCUAUGUAAACGGACAAUCACGACUAGAUGUAAAGCCUUCAGAGCGUAUUAGGUUGGUGACUCCGUUUUUCAAAGAUGUGAAUGUCUCUGAUGGUUUUGGACUCUUGAAUGUUACAAUAGGUACUAAGGAUUCCACUAAGGAUGCUGGUUUUCUGAAUGGUCUGGAGGUGAUGGAGUUUUUGAAAAAGUCAGAUUCUUCAGAUAAAAGUAGUUUCCGGGUUUACAUCAUCGCUGGCUGUGUUGUUGCUGCAUCGGUUCUGGUAUUGAGUUUGUUGUUCACAGUUUUCUUGAAGCGGAGGAGAUCGAAGAAGGAGAAUAAGUCAGACGCUGAGGUCACUGAAUGGUCUCCUUUGCCAUUGUACAGAGGUGGUGGGAGUUCCGACAAUAGACCUUCUGAUCCGGUCAACAAUUCUCCAUUACGCAGCAAUAGAACUUUUGAUCCGGUCCAUAAUUCGCCAUUACGCAACCUAAACUUAGGCUUGACCAUUCCCUUCAUAGACAUUAUGAGAGCUACAAACAAUUUCGAUGAGCAGUGGUUGAUCGGGAGAGGCGGUUUUGGAGACGUUUACAAAGCCAUUCUUCAAGAUGGAAGCAAAGCGGCUAUCAAGAGAGGCAAGAGUGGUUCAGGACAAGGACUAUUGGAGUUUCAAACAGAGAUUCAAGUCCUGUCGAGAAUCCGGCACAGGCACCUCGUUUCUCUAACGGGUUACUGCGAAGAGAACUCGGAGAUGAUCCUUGUCUACGAGUUUAUGGAGAAAGGUACGCUUAAAGAGCAUCUAUACGGCUCGGAUUUGCCUUCACUGACAUGGAAACAGAGACUAGAGAUUUGCAUCGGAGCAGCUAGAGGUUUGCAUUAUCUCCACAGUGGCUCAGAAGGAGCAAUCAUUCACAGAGAUGUCAAAUCCACAAACAUACUACUAGACGAGAACACCGUAGCCAAAGUCGCGGAUUUCGGGCUCUCAAACUCGCGGUUCGUAAUCAAGAUCCAAUCAAUAUCAGCACUAACAUCAAAGGAACAUUCGGUUACCUCGAUCCUGAGUAUCUGCAGACACACAUCUUGACGGAGAAAUCAGAUGUUUACGCUUUCGGAGUCGUUCUCCUCGAGGUCCUGUGCGCGAGAUCGGCUCUCGAUCCUUCUCUUCCUCACGAGGAAGUGAAUCUAGCGGAGUGGGCGAUGUUCUGCAAAUCCAAAGGGAUAAUCGAUGAGAUCUUAGAUCCGAAAUUGAUAGGUCAGAUCGAGCCGAGUUCGUUGAGGAAAUACAUGGAAAUCGCGGAGAAGUGUUUGAAAGAGUACGGCGACGAGAGGCCGAGCAUGGGGGAUGUGAUCUGGGAUCUGGAGUAUGUUCUUCAGCUUCAGAUGAUGCCGAUUCGCAGAGAGCCUCACGAGGAUAGCGCCGCGACGAUCUCCGGCGGCGGAGGCGAAAGCUCGUUGGUGAUUCCGAGGUUGAUGGUGAGUGAUUCGUUUAGCUCAAACUCGAUUGUUCAGAAGAACGAAGGGAAGAGUAGCUAUGGAGGUACAGAUUCAUCGGAGAGUCGAGUUUUCUCCCAAUUGAAGAUCUCCGAAGCAAGAUAAAAUUUCCUAUGAAACAUUCUGAUUUGAAAAGCGUCUGGUUUAAAGCUUUUGAUAUUAAAAACCGGUUAUUGCCGGUUUAAAUAUAAUCAUUUUAAAACAUAUGCAAAGUAACGAGUCAAUUGAAUGUAAUAUAAAAUUAAAACCCGGUUAUCGUCGGUUUAAAGUUAAUUAUUCUAAGACAAAUGCUAAUUUCCGAAUCGAAAAACAAUUCAAUUUAAUUAACCGAUAAAAACCUAAUUUCAAGAAAAGUUCUGAUUUGAUAAGUGAUUGGUUUAAUUUUUGAAAUUGAAACCCGGUUCCUGCCGGUAUAACGACUCAGCUGUUUGUGAUGUCGGCGAUGAACGAGUCCAGAUUCCGAGCCGAUGAUCCACCAGACGCCAACGCCGAUCUCGCCGCGUGCUUCAGCUCCGUCACUCUCCUCCUCAUAUCCGCGGCGGCAGAUCCUUCCCUCACGGCCUCAAUACAUCUCUCCACCUCUUCAACCUUAAGCUCUCCGUCGACAGCGUCGUUCCUCAUCCUCACUCCGAUCCCGAACACAUCCACAAGCAAUCUCGCGUCAAGCGGCUGAUCAAUCCAGCUCGGGUACGCCACCACCGGAACACCAGUCACCACCGUCUCCAUCGUCGAGUUCCAUCCACAGUGCGUGACGAAACAAGAGAUCGCCACGUGACUCAGUAUCCACUCUUGUGGACCCCACUCAAUCACAAUACCUUGACCUUCUCUAACCAUCUCCUGCAAAACGUCGACGUUUUCGCCUUUCUCCUUUGGCCUAAUCACCCAGAGAAACGAAACUCCUCUGUUUCUCAGAGCCGUUGCUAUGCUCUUAACUUGAGUCUCCGAAGAUUUCAGCAAACUUCCAAAAGAAAUGUAAACAACCGAAGACCUAGCUUGCUUGUCAAGCCACUCCAUACAAUACUCAUCCGAUUUCCACAUAUCAAGAUUUUUACCAUCUAGGGUUUUGUCUUCUUCAUCAGCUCCCAACAGAAAUGGAGAAACCAGAGGACCAAUUGGGAUCAUGGGUUUUAAACCAGACAUCGAUUCGAUUAUCUCUGAUUCGAGCUCGUAGAACGAAUUAACCAAAACCCAUUUCACAUCUUUCAAGCAAUCGACGAACUCCACCAUUAGGCUAUUGAAAUGACUUCCUGAAGAAGGCAAGAGAAACGAAGGGAGAUCUCCAACUUCCAACAAUGGUAAACCUGGCAAUUCAACCGUUUGAUUCAAAUCUUCGAGAUUCUCAGGGAAAGCAUUCGUCUUCAUGUAGUAACGGUAAUAAACCGAGAAAGCUCCACAAGCUUCGAUCCAGAGGAUUGCACAGGGGAUGUUAUAUGCAGCUGCAACACUUGGAACCCAUGGAGCAAAAGGCACAGUGACGAUGCAAGAGAAUCUCUUUGAUUCGACGAUUUUAGACAAGUUCUUGGCUCCGACUUUUUUCAACGAUGGUAUGAGAGAAUCUGCGGCUCUUGUGUGGUCUUUAGGCAGACCGUCGGGGAAGAAAGCAAGGUCCACUGGGCUACGGUGAUGUUCUUCGGCGGCGGUGGUGGUGGAGAGGAGGUCACGGGUUUUCUCGGUGGUAGCGAGAGUGAAGCUAAGGUUUGGUCGUGAGAGAUGUUUGGCGAAUUUGAGCAUUGGAUUAAGAUGACCUUGAAAUGGUAGUGCUACCAAUAGAACAUGUGUUUCUUGACCCUCACUAUUUCUCAUUUCUGCUUUGUUUAGAGGUGUUACUUAUUAGACUUGAGUUGUGUAUGAGAUUGUGUGUAACUUGUAAUUGUGGUGGUAUAUAUAACAAUGGUUGCUUAACGAUAGAUUUUUGCUUAAAAUGAAGUUAUUAAGUGAGAUUUUGGUAAGAAAAAUCUAUAUAUAGUAAAAAUUGGUAACCCAAUAAAAUGUAAUAGAUUCAAAAGUUACCACGUUUAUUAGCACCCUGCGCCUUGUCCUUAACUCAAUUCAAAUCUUGUAUAAUUGUUGACCAAAAAAACACGAUAUAUAUACCAAUUCUAGUAUGGUUAAAGUCAACAGUCAUUACUAAUGAUUUAUGAAUCUUUUUGUAUAGUGUGACACUGAGAUCAUUGUAAUUUGUUAAUGACAAUCUAUAAACUGUAAUUGGUAAUCCAAUAAACGUUGGUCAAUAAAUUCAAAUUUAAUCAUGUGUUUCUAUGCUCUUGUAAAUAAAUAAAUAUAUGUUAUUUUCAAUUGUGUUAUGGUUAUGAUUAGAUUUAUAUAAAAAAUAUGGUUAUGAUUAGAUUUAUAUAAAAAAAAACAGGUCUCAAUUCAUUCGGAUCAGUCUCGUUUGUAUCUGUCUCACUUUUAGAUUUGAAAUCCGUUAAGCUCUAUUUAGUUUUUGGAACUAACAGAGUAAUCGGUUUAUACAUGCCAAAAUUCUUUUAAUCUAUUUAAAACCAUUUACGAUAUGAUGCUUAAACAUUCUUAAUAUUUAUUUUAAAUUAUAUAAACUAAGCUUUUGGAAGCUAAUCAGAAGCUAACACACCAGUAUAAUUACCAUUGUUUUUUUAUUAAAUAAUAAUUACCAAUGUUUCAAGGCAUGCUUGAAUAUUCCACUAAGAAAAAUCAUCGAAAUUGUUUAUACUAAUCUAAAAUCCUAGCAAAGGUGGGUGAAUCUUUUUUUUUAAAUAGUUAUACAUAUUUUCGAGAUGACAAAAUUUAACAAUAUGAUAAAAUCAUAUGAACACUCGAACAUUUAUGUAGAUUUUAGUUAUGUUAUAUAUCCAAGAAGAAAUGAAUAAUAUUAAGUAACAUCUAUUACAAAUAACAUAUCAAUUGGUAACAUCAGAUGGCAAAUCAAAUAACAUCAUUACGUAGUAAAUUCAUGUGCAUGCGUUACUAGCUAAGCUUGUAUUCACUUUAUAAAAGAAAAUACAAAAUAGCAAUAGCAAUAAUGAAGGGAAGAGCAGCUACGGAGGUACAGAUUCAUUGAUCGAAGAGUCGAGUUUUCUCCCAAUUGAAGAUCUCUGAAGCAAGAAAACAAAUAAUCUCUUGAAUCCUUCUGAUUUAAAUACCGACUGGUUUUAACUUUUGAUAAUAAAAUCCGGUUAUUGCCGGUUUAAAUAUAAACAUUUUUUUAAGUCGACAAAAAAAAACAUUUCAAAACAGAUGUAAAGUGAGUCAACACUAUGAUCGAUGACUUUCUAGUUGAUGAGAAACGUGCACAAAAAGAAAAGGGUAACACUAUGAUCGAUCACUUGCUUUCUCUCCAAGAAACUCAACCAGAUUAUUAUACGGAUGUCAUCGUCAAAGGACUCAUAGUUGUAAGUAUUGAGGAAUACAUUUAAUACAUCACUAACAACUAACAAGGCUAACUAAGCUUUUUAUAAUGACUAAUUCUUGACUUCUAUUUGGAUAGGUUAUGAUAUUUGCCGGAAAUGUAACAAGAACGUUAGAAUGGGCGAUGCUAAAUCUGUUGAACCAUCCAGAAGUACUAAAGAAAGCGAGGAUUGAAAUCGAUACAAACAUUGGUUUGGACAGGUUAAUAGAUGAACAGGAUGCGAAAAGUCUUCCUUACCUCCAAUGCAUCAUAUCAGAGAUUUUUCGACUUUACCCGGCAGCUCCUUUACUUGCUCCUCAUAGGGCUACAGAUGAUUGUAUAGUUGGAGGCUACGACUUCCCUCUUGGCACGACAUUAAUCGUGAACGUAUGGGCCGGCCAUUCACCGAGACCCAAACAUAUGGUAAGAGCCAGAAAAGUUCAAGUUAGAGCGGUUCGAGAAGAAAGGAGAAGAACAAAAGUUGAUGCCGUUUGGAAUGGGACGACGAGCUUGUCCCGGGUCUGGUCUAGCUCAACGGGUCGUGAGUUUGGCUCUCGGAUCGAUGAUUCAAUGUUUUGAAUGGGAGAGACUUGGAGAAGAAUAUGUUGACCUAAGCGAAGCAACCACAAUGCGUCCAACGACGCCGUUGCUAGCCAUGUGUAGAGCUUGUCCUAUUGUUCAUAAGAUUUUCAAUACUUCUUUUUGAGAUGUCACUCCCUUUUUAAAAAAUAUGUAUAUCCAUUUAUGUUAUAUCCAUUUUGAGAUGUAAUUAAAAUGAAAGACAAAGACUAGUCUUUGAUUUGCCUUAAGAUUUUCCAUUUUAUUAAAAUUCAAAAACUAUUUUUUUUUUUCAAAAACCAAAAUUUAGAAGUUAAAUGCUACUCCAUUAUCAAAUAAACUCACUUCUAAAUUUCUAUGAAUGAGGAGUAGUUUUUUACUUUGAGAAAGUGUGAAGAAAUUUUUCCAAUUUCUUAGUUUUUGUUUGUUUUUUUUUGAGAAAGGGUUAAGAAAAGGGAGCUUGUUUUAUAAUGGAAUCUCUCAUGCAAUUAUUCCCACCUGUCACUAGAGAUAUGUUCGUAACUUCGUAACGUCUCAUGCAAUUACUGACUAAUAAACAUGUGUGAUAAGUCACCAUUAAUAUUUAUUGUCUAUUUCUUUUGCUUUUAAUUAUUAGGGUUUUGAGUAGAAAUUUGUUUCUUUCUAAUAUUAUAGACAAUAUAUAUUGCUAGCGUUUACGUUUUUUAUUUUGGUUCAAAACAUAGUGGUUAAAAAUAAACAAAUCAUAAAUUUUUAUUAUUAGUCAUUAAUGAAUGAGAGACGUUACGAACAUAUCUUUAGUUUAUUAAAAAAAAAAAAAGAUAUCUUUAGUGACAGGUGUGAUAAUUGCAUGAGAGUUUUCAUUAUAAACUAAGCUACAUAAACUAAUAACUCCCACGUUCGAUUCAACACAUUUACAACAAGAAGAAGUUCUUGAUCUAAAAUGGAAACUUAUUUUCUUAUUUUAUCCCUCGCCAUCUUCUUUUUCAUUUCUCUUAAACUUUUGUUUAAUAAACCGCAUAACAAGUUUAACCUACCACCAAGUCCGGCGAGGCCACUACCGUUGAUUGGACACCUUCACCUCCUGAAGCAGCCUCUCCACCGCACAUUCCUAUCUUUCUCUCAAUCCCUCGGCAGUGCCCCAAUUUUCUCCCUCCGUCUUGGAAACCGUCUCGCGGUUGUCGUCUCCUCCUACUCCAUCGCAGAAGAAUGCUUCACGAAAAACGACAUCGUUUUGGCUAACCGACCAGAGUCCAUAGUCGGGAAAUACAUUGAGUACAACUUCACCACUGUGACCAGCGCGCCUUAUGGUGACCACUGGCGAAACUUGCGGCGUCUCAGCACCCUCGAGAUCUUCUCCUCGCACAAGCUCAAUGGCUUUAUAUCCGUCCGUAAGGACGAGAUCCGACACUUGCUACUUCGUCUCUCCAAAAACUCGCAACAUGUAUGUGAGCUUCUACAUAUUAGUACUCUAUGACUAUAUACAUUAUCAGAGUUUGUAACCUAGUAGUUUGUCUUAGUGUGGCCUCUAGGUCAUAACCUAUAUAUAUACAUUACUUGAAGAUCUGCUCAGAGUUUGUAACCUAGUAGUGUGGCCACUAAAUUAAAAGUCAUAACUUGAGUACCAUGCAACAAAAGUUUGAGAAUUAAUCAUUUGUUUAUUUGAUAAUAAAUUAGGGGUUUGCCAAGGUGGAGAUGAGAUCAUUGUUUAUGGAUUUGACUAUCAAUAACAUUCUCAGAAUGAUGGCUGGGAAAAGAUUUUAUGGUGAUGGAACAGAGCAAGACGACAAUGCACGGCGAGUGAGACAGCUUAUUGACGAGGUGGUAUCCUACGCCGGCGCCGGGAAUGCUACCGAUUAUAUCCCAAUCUUGCGUUGGAUCACAAGUUUUGAGAAACGGGUCAAGAACUUAGCGGGUCGGGUCGAUGAGUUCUUGCAGAGCCUGGUGGAUGAAAAACGUGCGGAUAAAGAAAAGGGCGACACUAUGAUGGAUCACUUGCUUUCUCUCCAAGAAAUCCAGCCUAAUUAUUACACAGAUAUCACUCUAAAGGGGAUUAUAGUUGUAAGUAUUUAUUUUCUACAUUUAUUAAUCUUGAAUAAUCUAUUUAAUAUAUAACAACACAAACUAAACAUUUGUUAAUUUAAUUUUUACAGGUUAUGAUACUUGCCGGAACUGAAACACUAACAGGAACAUUAGAAUGGGCUAUGUUGAAUUUGUUGAAUCAUCCAGAGGUAUUAACGAAAGUAAGAACCGAAAUCGAUACCAAAAUCGGUUUUGACCGGUUAAUAGAUGAACAAGAUAUUAAAAAGCUCCCUUAUCUCGAAGGGAUUGUGUUGGAGACCUUACGUCUCCACCCUGUAGCUCCUACACUUGUUCCACAUAUGACGUCAGAUGAUUGCAUGUUGGCCGGAUACGAUGUUCCAAGUGGAUCCAUGCUAUUGGUGAACGUAUGGGCCAUGCAUAGAGACCCGUCUCUAUGGGAAGAUCCAGAAAUGUUCAAGCCAGAGAGGUUCGAAAAUGAAAAUGAAAAUCAAAAGGUGUUGUCGUUUGGGAUUGGACGACGAUCAUGUCCCGGGGUUGGAUUAACUCAUCGGCUAGUGAGCUUGGCUCUUGGAUCGAUGGUUCAAUGUUUCGAAUGGGAGAGAAUUGGAGAAGAAUAUAUUGACACUAGAGAGGCACCUAUGAUGCGUCCAACUACCCCGUUGCAAGCCAUGUGUAAAACUUGUCCCAUUGUCCAUAAGAUUCUCGAUGCUUAUGCUUGAAUUGUAACUCUUCUUGGUUUGAUUUAUGUUCGGAAAUACUACAUCAACUUGUUUUGAGUUGGGAAAUAAUUCAAAAUCCUUCUAAGAACGCUCUCAUGCAAACUGUUGAAUGUAUCUUCAAGGUUCUGAUCACCAUCUAGCUGAGUCUUUACGGAAAAUUAGAUCGUCACUAAAUAUUAUCAUUUUACCUUCGAAUAUAUUGAUUUUGUUGCCCUGAUGAUACACUUGAAAUAAAUAAAAAACAACCAUAGAGACACUCAAAUAAAAAAAAAGCUCAUAGCUUUAAAAUUUCUUGUAUAUUUUGAAACUAAAAUUAAGCUAUAUUACUUAUACUGAUAUUCCAUUUCUUCACAGUAUGAUCUAAUGAUUUUUGCAAUCCUCUAUGCUUUUGUUGUUGCAAUUAUACUUAUAUCUCCAUUUCAUUACAGUAUGAUAUAUAUAUAUAUAUAUAUAUUGUAAGUUUUGCAAUCCUCUACAUAUCAUUCUUCCCACAGCUCUAUCUGAAAAUUCCAUAUAUAUGUUCAACUUAUCUCUCUUCGUGUGUUGUGAAUUGUGUAUUAGAUUUGAGUAUUACAUUUGUACUUUUACAAUUCUUUUUUUUUUUUAUAAUCUUGAAGUGCUCUAGGAAUUAUAAUUAUUAUAUCAUGUUGGAUUUUUAAGAAUUUUGGUUUUUAUGAUAUUUUGUAAAAAAUUAGAGAGUGAUGUGUUUCUAGGGACAAAAGACGAAGACUUGAAAAAUCAACCCUCGUCUUUUUCCUCAUCGUCCCAUUAGAAAUCUCAGUUUUCUCUUCAAUCUUAUCUUCUUCCUCAGAAUCCUCUUCACAUCGACCACAGGUUUCUUCAUCCAUCGACUUAUUGAAAUUUCUUGUAGUAUAAGUUAAACCAAAAUGUGUGGAAACUAUUCAACACAAAAGACUUUUCACUCUCUUCUUUCAACGUGAAUAACACUUCGUACGAAGGACUAAAUGGUGAGCCAAGCGAAGCUGAGUGGAUAUGGAGCACUGACUAUAUGUAUUUAAAGAGAUGGCAUGAAAACAAUUUAACCAUCACAAUUUCCAUUUGCUCGCUUCUUUUUCACUAUUGAUUUUCAAGAAAGUUAAAAAUUAGCUUAAAGAAAAAACGAAAGGCUCUUGAAACUCAAUGAGUACCAUUCAUAUUUCUCUUUCUUUUCUCCUCUUGUUCGUUUUUAGUUUUCAUGACGUGUUUGCUGCUCCUACUAGACACUUGUGUCGUCCGGAGCAAAGGGAUGCACUUCUCGAGUUCAAGAAUGAGUUUGAGAUUCGGAAGCCUUCUUUUGAGUGUUAUGUUAAUGGUAGCUAUGUGCGCCCUUACCCGAAGACGGAGUCAUGGGCAAAUAACACUGAUUGUUGUUAUUGGGAUGGGAUCAAGUGCGAUGCCAAAUCUGGGGAAGUGAUCGAGCUAGACCUCAGUUGCAGCUGUCUCUACGGCAAGUUUCGUUCCAAUACCAGUCUGUUUAGGCUUCACAGCUUUCGUUUUCUCACCACUUUAUACGUUUCAUAUAAUGAGUUACAUGGUCAAAUCCCGUUCUCAAUUGGAAAUCUUUCUCUUCUUACUUCUCUCGACCUUUCUUCCAAUGGGUUUUCGGGUCAGAUUCCAUCUUCAAUUGGAAAUCUAUCACUGCUUACCUUUCUGAGACUUUCUGAUAAUCAGUUUUCGGGUCAGAUUCCAUCUUCAAUUGGAAAUCUUUCACAGAUUACCACUCUCCGUUUUUCCUUUAAUCAGUUUUCGGGUCAGAUUCCGUCUUCAAUUGGAAAUCUUUCACUUCUUACCUCUCUUGAUCUUUCUUCCAAUCAGUUUUCGGGUGAGAUUCCAUCUUCAAUUGGAAAUCUUUCACUGCUUACCUCUCUCUAUCUUUCUUUCAAUCAGUUUUUGGGUCAGAUUCCAUCAUCAAUUGGAAAUCUUUCACUGCUCACCUCUCUCCAUCUUUCUUAUAAUGGGUUUUCGGGUGAGAUUCUAUCAUCAAUUGGAAAUCUUUCACUGCUCACCUCUCUUCAUCUUUCUUAUAAUGGGUUUUCGGGUGAGAUUCCAUCCUCAAUUAAAAAUCUUUCACAGCUCACCUUUCUCAAACUUUCUUCCAAUCAGUUUUCGGGUCAGAUUCCAUCUUCAAUUAAAAAGCUCUCUCAUCUCCAAACUCUUCACCUCAGAUAUAACAAAUUCACUGGUGAAAUCCCAGAUUCUUUUGCCAGUUUGAAAAAUUUGACCGAGUUAGAUGUUAGUUUCAAUAAGCUUAGUGGUAAUUUUCCAAUUUGGCUACUAAAUUUGACAAAGUUGUCGUAUUUAUCACUCGAAUACAAUCAACUCACAGGAACGCUUCCCUCAAACAUUAGCUCACUCUCCAACUUGCGAUAUUUUUGGGCACGUGACAAUGAUUUCGUUGGAACCAUUCCUUCUUCUCUCUUCACCAUUCCUUCUUUGACAAGAAUUUAUUUGUCAAAUAACCAACUCAACGGCACUCUUGAGUUUGGGAAUAUAUCUUCACCAACAAAGCUAGAGUGGUUAGAGCUUGGCGGUAACAACUUGAGAGGGCCAAUACCGAGAUCCAUUUCCAAAUUAGUCAACCUCCGGGGACUUUACCUUUCCAAUUGGAACACCCAAUUAGGCCCAAUUGACUUGAGUAUCUUCUCGCAUCUCAAGUCACUCGGAUUUCUUUACUUAUCCCAUUUGAACACCACCACCACGAUUGACUUGAAUGCCAUCUUAUCAUUUUUCAAGUCGCUCGAAGGAUUGGAUCUCUCAGGCAACCAUGUUUCAGCCGAAACCAAGAGCUCAGUUUCAGAUCCUCCUUCGCAAAUGAUACGAGAAUUAAACUUGUCAGGCUGCGGUAUUACCGAAUUUCCAGAGAUCAUAAGAACCCUGCAGUCUAUGGAGAGACUAGACAUUUCCGACAACAAAAUCAAAGGUCAAGUGCCUGGCUGGUUAUGGACUCCACCAAAUCUGACGUACGUGAAUCUUUCCAACAACACUUUCGUCAGUUUCGGAAGACCAACGAAACAUGGACUAUCCUCUGGCUUGUGGUACUUGUCUGGCUCCAGAAACAAUUUCACGGGAAAGAUUCCCUCCUUCAUAUGUGCGUUGGGCUCUCUAAGCGUUCUCGAUUUAUCUGAAAACAACUUCACGGGAAAGAUUCCCUCCUUCAUAUGCGCGUUGGGCUCUCUAAGCGUUCUCGAUUUAUCUGAAAACAACUUCAAUGGUUCAAUCCCUCUUUGUAUGGAGAAUCUCAAGAGUAAUCUUUCGGUUCUAAACCUCCGUCAGAAUCAUCUUAGCGGAGGCCUUCCGGAGAAUGUAUUUGAAAGUCUAAGGUCCCUUGACGUUGGUCAUAACCAACUGGUGGGAAAGCUUCAAAGAUCUUUGAUCCAUUUCUCUGCCCUUGAAGUUCUAAAUCUGGAAAGCAACAGAUUCAACGACACCUUUCCGUUUUGGUUGAGUUCUCUACAAAACCUGCAAGUUCUUGUCUUACGCUCCAAUGCAUUCCAUGGACCGAUUCAUCGAGCCUCCUUCCUUCAGCUGAAAAUCAUGGACAUCUCGCAUAAUCACUUCAACGGAGUUUUACCGUCGGAUUACUUUGUGAACUGGAGUAAAAUGUCAUCACUUGGGACAGAAAAAGAUCGGUCGGAUGUAAACUACAUGGGAGAAGGUACCUAUUACGAAGAUUCAAUGGUUUUGAUGAAUAAAGGCUUAGAGAUGGAGCUGGUACGUAUAUUAAAAAUCUUCACAGCACUCGACUUCUCCGGAAAUAGAUUUGAAGGAGAGAUUCCAAGGUCCAUCGGCCUAUUGAGAGAGCUUCACGUGCUCAACUUGUCAAACAAUGCUUUCACUGGCCACAUUCCAUCAUCUAUGGGGAACCUGACAGCUCUCGAGUCACUUGACGUUUCCCAAAACAAGCUUUCAGGUGAGAUCCCACAAGAGCUAGGGAAUCUCUCGUACCUUUCUUCCAUGAACUUCUCUCAUAACCAGCUUGUCGGUCUAGUACCUGGAGGCACUCAGUUUCGAACGCAGCCUUGCUCUUCCUUCGAACACAACUCAGGACUUUUUGGCCCUUCUCUUGACGAAGUUUGCAAAGAUAUCCACAAGCCAUCAUCGCAAGAGUAUGAAACACCGGAGGAGGCAGAGGAAGAAGACGAAGAGGUGUUUAGUUGGAUUGCAGCUGCAAUAGGAUUUGGACCUGGCAUUGUAUUAGGAUUGACGAUUGGAUACAUAUUGGCCUUCUACAAACCGAGGUGGUUCACGAGUCCUUUUGGCCGAAACAAACACAGAAGCAGAAGCACCACAGCUCAUUAAGUGAGGUAAUCUUCUGAAUUUCAUAGAUUAUAGACUAUGUAUAGUAUAAUGAAUUUUUCUGGGUUAAUGUAUACUGUAUGUGAAAAUUAACUUUUUACGCCGUUUUUGUUUGUAUAGCGUUCUUAAACCCAAGAUGAAAAAUCUUUGAAAAAGAGAAUGAAGCAACCAGACCAUAGGACUGUAGAGAAAGAAGCUUGGGGAGAAGGCAACCCAUUUUAUCAAAAACUAAAUAUCAGUGAUUGUUUCCGGUUUAGUUUUGUGUGUUUAUCAUAUACUCUGUUUUUAGCCAAUGUUUUUGUUUCUCUGUAAUUGAACAAUGAAAGACUGUUUACAAAGCUCAAACUUAUUCCUAUUUCUCUGUGAUUGGACAUGAUUUGAGAGAGGUUAUAAUGCUCUUGCUCCGACUAAAUCAAUCAUUCUUCUGCCAAAUGAAGAACUAAGAUUCAACACACAUCUCAGAAAAUUGAUCCUUUUUCUCUUUUGGUAAUAUUAAUUAGCUGAGUAAAAUGAUAACUUAAUUAGUUUAUUGAAAGAUAUUUCACUGAGAAAUAUAUUAGUUAGUGGCGAUCAGGAUCAGCGACCAAUUAAAGCUAUAGAUAUAGUUGCUUAAAACCCAAGCUUUGCCAUUACAAUGAGGAAAAAAAAUCAUCUCACAAAUCAUUCCACUUUCCAACUACUGAAACUCUACAAUAGUCAAAUGACUCAAAUCGGAAUAAGAAAGUUAUACAUACACACAUAAUUUAAGGUCACAAUGACAAAAUCGUCGGUCUUACCAAAAAGAGUAUAAGUAUUCAUCAAAAGACAUCUUCUAAAAUGAAUUAUAUUAAAAAAAUUUGGUGAAAACAAACAAGAAAUUUUUACUGCUUAAUUAUUUUUGUUUUUAAAAACCAAAAGGUAAAUGGAAGUCGCUCUAAUUUUUACUUAUAAACCAAAACAAGAAAUUUUCAGUUAUAUCGUUCUAAGAUGAUGCAAUUGAUAGUAUAAUCUAUACGACUCUAUACUCCACUGAUACUUUUUCGUUUUUAAGCAGACAACUUUUCAGAGUACAAAUCUUUUGUUAUUUUUAUUCCUGGGAGAUGUAUAUCCUAUAAACAAAACUGUGUUAAAUGGAAGGACUUCAUGGACACCAAAACCAGAGGAGAAACGAAGACAGACGGUUUAGAAAUAUUUUGAUCACAUCCAAAAAAUAUAAUUCGAUAUUUUUUAUCAGAUUAAAGAAAAAACGUAUCAUUUUGAUCACAUCACAAAGUCAGUGCAAAAUCACAUCCAAAAAACUGUGAUAAUUUUGAUCACAUCACAAAGUCAGUGCAAAAUCAUAUAAAAAAAAUUCGAAUAAAGAAAAAACGUAUCAUGCCAAACGAAACCAAACAAAUAAAUAGAUAACAGUUGACUGACCGAGUCAGUCAUGGACAAAAACGAAGACUUGAAAAGUCAACUCCGGUCUUCUUCCUUAUUGUCCCACCAAUAAUUUACUUUUUUUCCUUCAAUCUCAUCUUCUUCCUCAAUCCUCUGAACAUCGACCACAUAUUUCUUCAUCCAUUGACCUCAAAACUUGACUUUCAUAGUUUCACUAUUGACUCUCUUUCUUUCUCUCUCUCUCUCUAGAUUUUCCAACAAAGCUAUGGAGAAACUCUGUUUUCGAAACUCAUUUUCUCUCUUUAUGACGACUGUGGUCAUUAUUCUUCUUCCUCGUUGCACUCUUUCUGCUACUUCUAUAUAUUCUCAUCGUCCCGAGAAGUUUUACGUCAACUGUGGGUCGGAUUCUAUUGUCACUUAUGGUGGUCGGACCUUCGUCGGAGAUAUGAUCUCCGGUGGCAACUCCGUUUCUUUCAACAGUAAAGGAACUGAAGCCAUCAAUCAAUCAGGAUCAGGAAUCUAUGAAACGGUUAGGAUAUUCAGACGCCCUUCUUCUUACAAGUUCCAACUCGAUUCCAUUGGUCUGCACUUCGUGCGUCUCCAUUUCUCUGCUGUCUCUUCUCGGACAGAGCUUUUAACUGCUCGUUUCACAGUCUCAGCUACUUCUCACUUGAAAAGUUUCUCGCUUCAGAAUUUCAAUGAGACCCCACGAGUUGAGGAGUUUCUCCUGAUGAUUGACUCGCCAGAAUUCGAAAUUCGAUUUGUGCCCGAUCAUUCAUCCAUGGCUUUUGUCAACGCCAUCGAAGUGUUCUCUGCUCCUAAUGACCUAGAAAUUCCGUCAGACUCCGACAAGAAUCUGCAUACGGUUUACAGAUUAAACGUAGGAGGCAAGAAGAUCACACCAGAAAACGACACCUUGGGAAGAACUUGGUCAGUUGACGAGGACUUCCUCUACGAAAAAGAUUCUGCGAGGAACAUUAAUUCAACACAAAAGCCUAACUACGAGUCAGGGACAGCGACGCCAUUCACUGCUCCUGAUUUUGUCUAUCAGACAGCGAAAACGAUGAACCAUAGCUCGAAUGAGGGGAUGGCAGAUGGGAUGUUGAUGAACGUUACUUGGUCAUUUAAGGUCAAUAGCAACUCUAGACACUUACAUCAGGGUUCACUUCUGUGAUAUCAAGAGUGAAUCACAAAAUCCCGACUCCGAUUUCUAUCUCUAUGUAAACGGACAAUCACGACUAGAUGUAAAGCCUUCAGAGCGUAUUAGGUUGGUGACUCCGUUUUUCAAAGAUGUGAAUGUCUCUGAUGGUUUUGGACUCUUGAAUGUUACAAUAGGUACUAAGGAUUCCACUAAGGAUGCUGGUUUUCUGAAUGGUCUGGAGGUGAUGGAGUUUUUGAAAAAGUCAGAUUCUUCAGAUAAAAGUAGUUUCCGGGUUUACAUCAUCGCUGGCUGUGUUGUUGCUGCAUCGGUUCUGGUGUUGAGUUUGUUGUUCACAGUCUUCUUGAAGCGGAGGAGACUGAAGAAGGAGAAGAAGUCAGAUGCUGAGGUCACUGAAUGGUCUCCUUUGCCAUUGUACAGAGGUGCUGGGAGUUCCGACAAUAGACCUUCUGAUCCGGUCAACAAUUCUCCAUUACGCAGCAAUAGAACAUUUGAUCCGGUCUACAAUUCGCCAUUACGCAACCUAAACUUAGGCUUGACCAUUCCCUUCAUAGACAUUAUGAGAGCUACAAACAAUUUCGACGAGCAGCGGUUGAUCGGGAGAGGCGGUUUUGGAGACGUUUACAAAGCCAUUCUUCAAGAUGGAAGCAAAGCGGCUAUCAAGAGAGGCAAG
rnacentral:lncRNA from 1 species